rnacentral:lncRNA from 1 species
UUCGAGAUAGGUGUAUUGACUAUUCUAGAUACUUGAGUUAUAUUUCUAUUUUUAAAUGCUCUUAUACUGGCUCUACCAGGUUAUGGGAUGGUAUUUAUGUAGUGAUUACUUUUAAACUAUUUCUAUUUUUUUGCUUAUUUAUUGUGUUGGAUUGCCUAUUAGGCCCUAUAGGGGCAUUCCCACCAAGUUAACCCAUUGUGUUUAACUUCGGAUUACGGUUUGGCUUACCUACUGGCGGGAUAGAGUAUGUUCCAUCAUGACUCAUAAAUCAGGUCGUGACACGUUAUUUUCUGAAAGUAAAUCAUUUUAUCUUGAGAGGAAAGAUUCCAUUAACCUCUGGUACUUGAGGGGAAUAAAUUCCUUAAGGACACACACUGAAUUCAGUUGACUUGAUUCUAAAAAAAUUUCUAUUUCAUAUUCAUUUCUUAAGUUGGUUUUACUAUUUUUCUAAAAAUAGUAGAAACUUCAUUUUGAUAGUUUAUUUGAUCAUUCAUUUGAACUUGUGUUUGAAGUUGUUGAACUCCAUUAUAGUUCUUGAAGUUGUUUUUGAACUUAGUGUUGAAGUUCAUAUUGUUACAUAUAUAAAUUUUUUUCCAAAAAUAACAAAUUUUAUUAUGGUCAAGUGACUUGGAAGAUGCUUAUGAACUAACUAAUUGAACCAUUGUGUCAAAUUCAUAUUUUAUUGAUAUUAAUCCAUACUUUUAGGGUCUGAAUAUACUUGGUCAAUUAAUCUAAGGGAUAAUAGUCUGAAAAAUACAUGUACUUUGCCUAAAUUUGUAGUUGCGCAUACUGAACUUUGUAGGGGUCUUAUUACCCCCUGAACAUUUUUAAAAUAGAAUAUAUACCCGUUGAAAAGCUCAUAACCAUAUUUUAUUUCAAGUAGUGACCUGCACGCACUGCCACAUAAUGCCACAUCAUGCCACGUAAUUUCACGUAAUAUUACUUUUUUAAUAUAAAAAAUUAAUUACUUUUAUUUAUUAUAUUUUCUUCUUUUUAUUUUUUUUAAAUUUACUUUUUCAUUUCAUUCUCUUUUUUUAUACCCUGUUCUCAUCUUUUUUUUUUUAACUUCUCCAUAUUAUUACUUUUUUCAGCGAUGAACACAAAGUAUAGAGGAAGCCUCCGACGGAAAGCAUCUCUCAGCUUUAUUUUUUAUAGAUAAGAGAUUUUUUCUUUAUUCUUUGGUUAUGGGGGAGUGAAAUCCUAGAAAUUGUAGUGCGUGUGAAUAUGGGGAUUAGAGUUGUUGAGUUGUGAAAUCGAAGAUUGUUUGAUUGGUACUUUGUGUGGUAAAGUAGAGAGAAUGUCUUUAUUAAGUAGAGAAUUGGUAGUUGGAGUGUGUAGUUGUUAUUUUCUUUUCAUUUUUGGGUCAAAAUUUUUUGGAAGGAAAACACAUUAGGAUGAUUAGAUUGAGGGAUUAAUAAGAAAUUACUAGAAUUUAAAUGGGGCUUGCAAGUGAAAGGUUAGAUUUGAGGUAAAGCCAUGGAAGAAUAAAAAUGGGUUCUUGAAAAUUUGAACAUUGAUGAAUAGAGAAAAGAAAAUUAAAAUAAAAAAUAAUCAAAAGCUUACGUGACAAAUGUGUUAUGGUGAAAGAGAGUGAGAAAAAAGAAAAUGAAAUUGAUGAGACUCAUUGGAAAUGAGAAAGAUGUGAGAUUAAUUUUAGACACCAUUGAUGAAUUUUGAAGCUUUUUAGUUUUGUAAGAGAAGAAGAAGAAGAAGAUGAAAAAAAUUGAAUAAAGUAAAAUAAUAAUUGAAAUUAUAUAUAUUUAUGUAAAGAAAUAUUAAAAAUAAAUUUUUAAUAUAUAAUUUUCCUUCUCACUCUCUCAAAGAGAGUGAAAUACACUCACUUUGCCACCUCAGCAUUUGGAGAGAAAAUAAUUUCAUUUUAAAAAUGUGCAGGGGGUCAUAGGACCCCUGCAAAGUUCAGUAUGCGCAACUACAAAUUUAGGCAAAGUACAAGUAUUUUUCGGACUAUUAUCCCUUAAUCUAAUAAUAAAAAUCAUAUAUAAUAAUUUCAGGUACUAAAACUUUUAUUUCUCAUAAUUAAGAAGGUACUCCUAUGCCUUAUUAUUUUUCAUAGUUAUCCAUAUUUAAAUAAGUGUAUUUUUAUUUAAUAAAAAAAUUAUUUUAAAUAGGUACUAUUUAAUCAUGGAUAAUUUAAUAAAAAAACACCUCUUACUUUUUAGAGGUAGGUCAAUUUCUUAAGGGCGUAAUCAAGUUAAAAGCACCAUAAUAAUAUUGACCAAAGAGGGAGUAUAAUUCAAACAUUAGAGAAAAUUAAUUUUUACAAUUUUUGUUAUUUUUAAAGCACGCACAUCUAGUGCAUUAAAGUUUAAAGAUUUAGAAAAAGAAAAAUGGAUGACACUAUGAACAGAUUAAUUAGUAGGCAAUCAAGACAAUUAAUUUAAAAUAUUUGACAUAAUUGAUAUUCAAUUUGAGAUGAUCAACGUGACCUGAAAACAGAAAACAAAAUAAAAGGAAGAUUUUUGAGGAAAAAUUAUAAACAUAUCAAUAAUUAUUAGUCAAUAUAAAAAUAUUUACAUAGUUAAUGCUUUGAUCCUGUGUUUUUUGUGCUAUAUAUAUUAGCUACUAUAGUUGCCUACAUAAUAUCAUAGCUCUAGUAAAAAUAUAUACAACAAAUCAUCUAAGCAACAUAACAUGGAAAAGGCUUCAAGGAAAUUGCUCUUCUUUAUCACUUUUUGGCUUGUUGCAACAGGUUUGCUCUCUCAAAUAAAAAAUCAUAUGCCUGAAACUUCAUUAUCCUUCUUGCCUUUCCUCGUCUAAUGUGUUCCCUUUUGAUGAAUACCUUAGUCGUAUCGGUUAAAAAAAUUUCUUGUAUAUCAUAUAUGCUUAAAUUUUACCUCUUUUUUGUUACAUUAUUUGUUAUAGGAUGAUGACUCCAGAUUUAAAACAAAAAUAGUAAAUUAUUUUUCAUUCAGCUUCGUGCACUUUAGAACUGUAGAAAGUAAUUUGAUAUUUUUUGUGUGAUAACUUGCAGGGUUUUAUUUGAUGGAUGGAAUUGCAGAAGCAAGAAGUUCAACCCCAGGACCACAUACAUGUACAGCUGAUAAAGAUUGCCAACCAUACUGUUCAUUUUUUAAUGCUGGCACUGGUGUUUGUGUUAAAAACUUGUGUAAUUGUCAUAAAAACUCAAACACCCUAAUGCAUGAGGAGAAUAAAGACAGCACAAUUGAGAAGGCGCAAAUAACUACAUAGAAAAGAGAAGAAGAAAAGCUAUAGAAUUUUCUUUAAACUCGUAUUGCACAUUUAAAGAUGUAAUAGAUAUUGUGCUAGUAAAAAUCAGUCAGAGGUAACCGGUUCUAUGCACGGGCCAAAUAUUAUUGACCCUCCAAGUCAAUAUUAUUUUCUCUCAUAUUACUUGGCUCUAUAUUUAAAUUGAUAUUUCAUUUUACUUGUCCUAUUUAGGAAAAAAGAUCAAGUGAGUUUUAUUUUAUUUUUCCCAUUCUACCCUUAACAUGAGUUUUACCCUUAAUACCCUUCUACUUUAAAAAAUUGACCAACUUUAUUCGCAGUCAUACUUUGGAGGUCAUAUUUACCCCUGCUGUUAAGGAAGUUAUCAAAAAUAUUCCUUUUUCUAACACUUUUUUACCGUGGCAAGAUCAUAGCCAUGUAGCAUAACAUUUGAAGUGAGAUGAAUGCCACGUGGCAUGCCACCUCAGCAUUAGACCUUUUUUCUAAUUUCUAAUUUUUUCCUUUAAAUUUUAUUAUUUAAGUUUAUUAAUUUUUUUAGAAGAUAUUCAAAACAACCAGCUUAAGUUGAAGCUUGCCUGAAACCACAAUAUAGGAGUGCUUGAGCUUCACUAGUGUAGUUGGUUGAGAACUGGAGAAGUAAAUACAGAGUAGGAUACAUUUUUCAUGUAAUUACGGAAUAAAUUGUCUUUCAGGGCAAAUUAUGGGUCAUUUGUGCUUGUGAUAUGAUAAUUACAUUAUCCCUUUCUUCAAGUUGCACCCUUUAUUUCAUCUAUUGAGCAGUGAUAUUACAAUGAAGGAGCAACAGUGUUGCUCAUAAGGGUAAAGUGCUAAAAUGAAAAACGAUUUCAAUUGGACUAUGUCAGUAGCUUUUGUAUAUCAUUUUUAGGAACAUUACAAUCUUGUGAUAUGCUAGUGUUAUUAAAAGUCAUCGGUUUCUCGCUUAAAGCAUGAAAUGAACGGUUAUAGUUUCAUGAGUAAACUCUCUUGACCCAUUCAAAGAACUGUGUGCUUCAAAGAAUGACUCUCGAAGUAAUUUCGAUGAGAAGCAUCCAGUUAUUUGCAUAUCAACUUAGAGAAAUUCGAUUAAUACAGACACUAUCGCGUACUGGACUCUGCAAUUCAUUAUGCUAAUUGAUUAUUAUUGUACCAAAUUCAUCCGUGCUUCAUAAUUUUAAAUUUGUGAAUUGUAAAUUUCAUUUCUAGAAAAUGUAAAUUUCAUUUUUCACUUUUCGCCCAAUCCUCAUGAACCUUUUUUUAAAAUUGUUUUUCUCUUUGAAAGAUGUUGAGAUAUGCUUAAAUUGUUUUAGAAAAUGAUUUUUUUAAAAUUAAUAAAAUUAAAUAAUUUAUAAAAAUUAAAGAAAAAAAUUAAAAUGAAAAAAAAAAGUCUAAUGCUGAGGUGGUAUGCCAUGUGGCAUCCACCUCACUCCAAAUGUCAUGUCACGUGGCUAUGAUUUUGUCAUGGUGAAAAAGUGUUAAAAGGAGGGGUAUUUUUGAUAAUUUUAUUAACAGCAAGAGUAAAUAUGACCCUAAAGUAUGAGUGAGGAUAAAGUUGAUCAAUUUUUUAAAAUAGAGGAAUAUUUUUUACCCUUUUUUUUCAAAAUUAUUUAAAGAUCAUAAGAUCAAAAAAAAUAUAUUUUUUUAAACUUUCUGUUAAAUCAAAUAUGAUAAACAAAUUAAAACAAAAAGUAAUAUCGAACUCAAAGAGUAAUAUAGGACUCCUUUUUCUUGUCCUUUUUUUUUUCACUUUAUACAACUAAACUUGCAUCGUGCCACAAGAAAACUAAAGCCAAACCCAUAAAAGCCACAAGAAAACUAAAGCCAAAACCAAAGCCAAAGCCAAUAAAUUGGAAGUGAAAAAUGCAAUUGAGAGUUACGUGGGUAAAAUUGGGUGGACCAACUUUUAUAUAAUCCUUGAGAACUACUGUCAUGAAAUAUUGCGGAACACAAACUUUAAGUGCCUUCAGCCAAAAAAAAGAGACGCUUGUGUGGAGCUCAUAGUUUGUAGCACCUUUUUUUAGUUGCGACUGAUGAGAGAUCACGUUUAGGGUGUGUUUGGUGCGAAGGAAAAUGUUUUUCAUGCAAAAUAUUUUUCUACAAAAUAUUUUUCAUGAAAAAUAUUUUUUGGGAAAAUAAGUUGAUUUCUUACUUGUUUUCUUAUGUUUGGUUGGUGGAUGAAAAAUAUUUUUCGAAAAAUAUUUUCUAGUAUUUGGUUGGUGAAUGAAAAAAUAUUUUUACAAAAAAUACAUUUUAGUGUUUAGCUAAAGUUUAAAAAUACACUUUAGAAUCCUUUGAAAAAAAAACUAAAUCAUUUUUUGGGAAGGGGGUUGGUAGGUGGGUGGGUGGAGGUGUCAGAAUAGGUAGUAAGGGUGGGGGUAAGAAAAAAUUUUAAAUUUCUUUGGUUAAAAAGAAAAGAUUUAAAAAUUGGCGGGACUAUGUCAGUAGCUUUUGUAUAUCAUUUUUAGGAACAUUACAAUCUUGUGAUAUGCUAGUGUUAUUAAAAGUCAUCGGUUUCUCGCUUAAAGCAUGAAAUGAACGGUUAUAGUUUCAUGAGUAAACUCUCUUGACCCAUUCAAAGAACUGUGUGCUUCAAAGAAUGACUCUCGAAGUAAUUUCGAUGAGAAGCAUCCAGUUAUUUGCAUAUCAACUUAGAGAAAUUCGAUUAAUACAGACACUAUCGCGUACUGGACUCUGCAAUUCAUUAUGCUAAUUGAUUAUUAUUGUACCAAAUUCAUCCGUGCUUCAUAAUUUUAAAUUUGUGAAUUGUAAAUUUCAUUUCUAGAAAAUGUAAAUUUCAUUUUUCACUUUUCGCCCAAUCCUCAUGAACCUUUUUUUAAAAUUGUUUUUCUCUUUGAAAGAUGUUGAGAUAUGCUUAAAUUGUUUUAGAAAAUGAUUUUUUUAAAAUUAAUAAAAUUAAAUAAUUUAUAAAAAUUAAAGAAAAAAAUUAAAAUGAAAAAAAAAAGUCUAAUGCUGAGGUGGUAUGCCAUGUGGCAUCCACCUCACUCCAAAUGUCAUGUCACGUGGCUAUGAUUUUGUCAUGGUGAAAAAGUGUUAAAAGGAGGGGUAUUUUUGAUAAUUUUAUUAACAGCAAGAGUAAAUAUGACCCUAAAGUAUGAGUGAGGAUAAAGUUGAUCAAUUUUUUAAAAUAGAGGAAUAUUUUUUACCCUUUUUUUUCAAAAUUAUUUAAAGAUCAUAAGAUCAAAAAAAAUAUAUUUUUUUAAACUUUCUGUUAAAUCAAAUAUGAUAAACAAAUUAAAACAAAAAGUAAUAUCGAACUCAAAGAGUAAUAUAGGACUCCUUUUUCUUGUCCUUUUUUUUUUCACUUUAUACAACUAAACUUGCAUCGUGCCACAAGAAAACUAAAGCCAAACCCAUAAAAGCCACAAGAAAACUAAAGCCAAAACCAAAGCCAAAGCCAAUAAAUUGGAAGUGAAAAAUGCAAUUGAGAGUUACGUGGGUAAAAUUGGGUGGACCAACUUUUAUAUAAUCCUUGAGAACUACUGUCAUGAAAUAUUGCGGAACACAAACUUUAAGUGCCUUCAGCCAAAAAAAAGAGACGCUUGUGUGGAGCUCAUAGUUUGUAGCACCUUUUUUUAGUUGCGACUGAUGAGAGAUCACGUUUAGGGUGUGUUUGGUGCGAAGGAAAAUGUUUUUCAUGCAAAAUAUUUUUCUACAAAAUAUUUUUCAUGAAAAAUAUUUUUUGGGAAAAUAAGUUGAUUUCUUACUUGUUUUCUUAUGUUUGGUUGGUGGAUGAAAAAUAUUUUUCGAAAAAUAUUUUCUAGUAUUUGGUUGGUGAAUGAAAAAAUAUUUUUACAAAAAAUACAUUUUAGUGUUUAGCUAAAGUUUAAAAAUACACUUUAGAAUCCUUUGAAAAAAAAACUAAAUCAUUUUUUGGGAAGGGGGUUGGUAGGUGGGUGGGUGGAGGUGUCAGAAUAGGUAGUAAGGGUGGGGGUAAGAAAAAAUUUUAAAUUUCUUUGGUUAAAAAGAAAAGAUUUAAAAAUUGGCGNNNNNNNNNNNNNNNNNNNNNNNNNNNNNNNNNNNNNNNNNNNNNNNNNNNNNNNNNNNNNNNNNNNNNNNNNNNNNNNNNNNNNNNNNNNNNNNNNNNNNNNNNNNNNNNNNNNNNNNNNNNNNNNNNNNNNNNNNNNNNNNNNNNNNNNNNNNNNNNNNNNNNNNNNNNNNNNNNNNNNNNNNNNNNNNNNNNNNNNNNNNNNNNNNNNNNNNNNNNNNNNNNNNNNNNNNNNNNNNNNNNNNNNNNNNNNNNNNNNNNNNNNNNNNNNNNNNNNNUAUUGGGGGCGAGGGCAGGGUAGAUGAUUUUGAGAAUUGUAUGAACAUUUCAACUUUAAAGUAGGUUGAAAGAAAGUUUUGGAAAACAUUUUCCUUUCUUUUUGAAGGAAAGUUAUUUUUCUUAGAUUUAAGAAAAAUAAGUUGGUUUGAAAAACAUUUUGCAAAACAUAUAAGUCAAUCAAACAUAAGAAAAUUGAAAAACAUUUUCUGAAAAAUAUUUUUCUUCAUACCAAACACACUCUGUGCCUCUUAAAGAAAUUGUUGUGAUUAUCAAAAGAAAAGUACAUUACCAAGUGCUUAAGGGGUCGUUUGGUAGAGUGUAUUGAAAAAUAUAAUGCAUGCAUUAGUUAAUGUGUACUACUAGUACCUUGUUUGGUAUAAUUUUUUGCCUAUGUAUAACUAAUGGUUGCAUUAGUUAUACACUCUAUUGUGUAUUGGAGUGUGUAUUAAUAAUACACUCCAUUUCCUAUGUAUUAGUAAUACAAUGUCUUUUAACACAUGUAUUAACUUAUUAAAUGACCUUAAUACCCCUCAACUUUUCUCUCAAAAUAUUUCACCAUUCCAUUUCCCGCCAUUUUAAUUUGUAAUAGUGGAUCUUUUUAAAAUAUUUCACAAUUUCUUUUUCCACCAUUUUAAUCUACAACAAUGAAUAGUUUAUUUAAAUAAUUAUAACAUAUUUUUGUUUUGCUUCAAGGGUCUUUAAAAAGAUUAAAAAAAAAAUGAGACUAUUUCUUAAUUUUACGUCUUUUAUUUUAUUUUUUUCGACUAUGUUAAUCCGUUGGCGUAAUAUUUCAUGCGCAAAAACGAAGGUCUUGCAAUUAAUCUGAAACCUCUAUAUACUAGUUCAACAAUACUAAUUAUGUUUGAGAUGACAAAAAAUAUUUAUUGCAAAAAAAUGUAUAAAAUUAUAGAAGGGUAUUUUUGUAAACAAACGUUUCUUUUAUAAAUUUUAUGUAAGAUGUAUUAUUUCUUAUACAUCAAACCAAACAAUGUAUAUAAAAUAAUACAUGCAUAACUAAUGCAAGCAUAACUAAUACAUGCAUUAUUAAUGCAAGCAUUAUUAAUACACUAUAUUUUGCAUUGUUCUUACACACUCUAUCAAACGACCCCUAAAUGUACAGAUUAAUACUGCAAGCACUAUAGUAAAAUUCUAAAAUCCCCUGGACGAGAGUUUUAUAGAGAGUUCAAUUCUCUCUUCUAUAUAAGUAGUAAAGUAAAAUAAACAUAAAAAUUUGAGAAGAGAGAUAUUGGAGAGGAAGUUGAAUUUAUUUUUGGAUUAAAUGUUUGUAAAUUGUCAAAGAAAAAAGAAAAUAGAAAAUGUAAACAUAAAAAUUUAAUAGUGAGGUGACAUGUCACCGUCCACAUGACGCCAGUCUCAUCCAAAUAUUAGUCACAUUAGCUUUUAAAAGAUUAUGAUGAACAACAAUUAAAAAAAGGGGUUUUUUGUUAUAGACUAUAUUUGACUCUACAGUAUAACUAGAGGUUAACUAUUAAACAAAAGUAAAAAGGUAAUUUUGAUCAUUUUCCCUUUAAAUUAAAAUGAUAACAAUAAGUUAAAAGCCAUAAAUUAAAAUAUGAAUUUAUUACUUUCGGCUUAUAAGCAAAAGGGCUAACUUGGAGAGAGGUCAUAUUUGUGCACUGUCAAAGUUUUGCUUUCUGUGUUAAAACGACGUCAUUUUUAUUAUUAUUAUUAUUAUUAUUAUUAUUAUUAUUGUUGUUGUUGUUGUUGUUAUUAUUAUUAUUAUUAUUAUUAUAAUAAUUUUAUUUAUUUCUAUAGUAGCAGCACCUAAAUUUNNNNNNNNNNNNNNNNNNNNNNNNNNNNNNNNNNNNNNNNNNNNNNNNNNNNNNNNNNNNNNNNNNNNNNNNNNNNNNNNNNNNNNNNNNNNNNNNNNNNNNNNNNNNNNNNNNNNNNNNNNNNNNNNNNNNNNNNNNNNNNNNNNNNNNNNNNNNNNNNNNNNNNNNNNNNNNNNNNNNNNNNNNNNNNNNNNNNNNNNNNNNNNNNNNNNNNNNNNNNNNNNNNNNNNNNNNNNNNNNNNNNNNNNNNNNNNNNNNNNNNNNNNNNNNNNNNNNNUUUAAUUUAAUAUUUAAAUAAAUAAUAUUUAGAUAUAUUAUAUAACUUAAAUUUGUCCUCUUCUUUAUAAUAUAUAUACAUACCCGCUCAAUUUUUUUGUAUGAGGCUGACCCACCUAAUUAACAAAUCUUCAAUAUUUCUCUUUUUCUGCAAUGACAAAAUAAAUUAGAUGCCAUUUUCAUCUUUGAGCCAAAAAUAAUGAAAAAAUAAUAGUGAAGAGUCAUUUAAAGGUCAUAUUUGUGCACUGUCAAAGUUUAAGGUCAUAUUUAUGUAUUAUGCCCUUAGAUUUUAAGCUGGACGUGCCCAGUUUUACGUGUUGAACACACGUUUUGCCACGUAGGAUUGGAGUUCAUAUUUAUGUAGUUUUGAAUAGUUAAAGGUCAUAUUUGUGCACUGUCAAAGUUUAAGGUCAAAGUUAUAAUUUGAUGUCAAGUUUAGGGUCAUUUUUAUGUAUUUACUCUUUGAAAUUUUAUACAUAUCUCUUGUAUUUGAAUUCAUCAAAUCUCAUCGACAAGUACCUCAACUUGGCAUUAUCUUUUACUUUGGUACCUCAAGUGGACGAUAUUCAUUUUAGGCACCUCAAUUAGCGUACGGGUGUGUCAUUUUGACAUUUUUUGCAUAGGUGACAACUUGCGUGUUUUUCACCCAUUUCAGACGCGUGAUUACAUUUUUUAUCUGAUAUGACAUCCAACUUGAUCAUAAUAAUAAUAUUUAAUUGCUUCCAUUUAUUUAUACCCUUUCUUUAAUUUUUAAAAACAUCAAUUUUGCUCAAAUUUUAUUAAAAUUAUUUUUUCUGAUAAUAUUUAUCAACUUUCUUUUUUUGGUUAGAAAAUAUAAGUUUGAAAAAAUAGAUGGGGGAAAAUGAUUGUUGAAAAUUUUCAGUGAAAUAAAUGAAAAACAACUGCCCAUCUUUCUCAGUGAUAUCAAUUUAGCAGAGAACACUUUCGAGCAAAGUGCAUUAUUAAUAGCACAUAGUCGAUACAAAAAAUUUCUGCAUUUUAUUAUCAUCGAAUCUAAAAUUUCAUUAAGGUCAAGAGCAAAAGAUUUGUCAAUAUAAAGUUUCGAAAAUUAAAAAUUUAUCAGCAAAUUAAGCGAAGACUAGUACUGUAAUGUUUAUCAACUUAAAUUGAAAGUAAAUUUCUUUUUAUUGGUGAUGAAGGUAAACUUUCUCCUCACUGGUUAUCUCCAUUGAUGUUAGAAGUUUUUCAUCAACUUAAGAGUAAUUGUCUUUGCUAAGUUAAAAAUUGAUUAAAAUUAAAUUAAGUUGGUGAGAAUAAAUUUGUUCAUUUCAAUGGCCAUUGAUGUGUAUUUUGAAGAAGAAGAUUUGGAGGUGAGAGUGGGGUUGCUGGGGUAUUUUGGAGAAGAUGAUUGGGGGUAGGGGUUGGGGUGUUUGGAGACGGUGAUUUGAGUGGGUGGGAGGGGAUUCGGGUGUUUCGGAGAAGAUGAUUUUGAGGGCAGCUGAGGUAUUUGGAGAAAGUUAUUUAAGUGGGGGUGGGUGGGGAGGGAAUCGGAGUGGUUGGGAUGUUUUGGAGAAGAUGAUUUAGAAGGAGGGUUGGGGUGAAGAAGAUGAUUGUGGGUUGGGGGAUACUUGGAGAAGAUUAGGGGCAUUUACUUAUUGAUUUUUUUUAGAAAAAUAAGUUAAUUAGUUAAAAAUAAAUUUUUUAAUUAUGAUUUAUUUAAAACUAUUAUUUUAUCCAAAAAGUGCCACGUAUUUUUUUUUAAUUGGCCACAUGCCAUGUCAGCAACAUGUGUAUUAUACAUACUUUAUAAUUUUAGCUGAUUGUAAAAAAAGUGUCAAGAUGACACAAUUAAUAGCUGGUUCAGGUGUUUAAAAUGAACAUCAUCCGCUUGAGGUGUCAAAGUGAAAGAUGAUGUCAAGUUGAGGUACCGGUCGAUGGGUUGGCCUAUUAUUGAACAUGCAUAUUCAUUUAUCUCAUAGAUCACUGUAUGAAACUAUUGAGAAAAUAUUAUUUUAUUUUUUUAGAAAAAUGAACCACCUUUUAUUAAUUAGGUUUGAUUCGUAUUUCAAAUGGUAAGAUAUGAUACUACUUAUUGAUUCAGUCUGAUAUGUAUUAUGAAUGGUGAGAUAUGAUACUCUUGAGUGAUUUAGUACGAGACAUAUUUUGAAUGAGGUAUAUAAACCUCACAAGUUUCAAAUAGGUCCCACCUUGCACACACAAUAGGUUUCAAAUAGGUCCCACCUUACACACACCAUUAGAGGGGGUGUACAGAGGUAGACAUUGUCCAUUGAAUAUCAUUCAUAUCAUUGCAUUUAAUCAAUUUUGAAUUAUUAUUAUAUUUGAGAUGAUUCUGCAAAAUUAUUGAUAUAAAAUUACUAGGGUUUUCAAUGUGCAUGAUUAUUUUAAUAUUCUUUAUUCGAUAUAGUAUUUGCUUAAGCUUAGUCAGCUUAUGAUACCAAUUGAGUACUAGUAGUUGUACACAAUCCUAAUUUUCUACAAUCUUCUAAUGUAGAUCCUGGUAUGACUGAUCUUCGUGGUUUAUUAUUAUGUAUUCCAAUAGUAUCUAAGGGUGUGGUGAGCUUAUCUGAUCAAAUAUAAUCUCAGUUUCAUCUAUUUUUUAUUUUUUUCUUAUUUUCUUUCUUAGACAUUUGUAUUUUGAUUCGUUAUUCUGCAUUAGAGUCGCUUUUGUACUUAUGACAGUUGAAUCUUGGCGAUUUUGAAUUUCUUGUUUAGCUGCACUUGAAUUUAUCUUUGAGUUAUUAUGAUCAUUAUUAAUGUGUAUGUAUGUGCUUACUGGCGCCUUUACUUCAAGUGUAUUGAAUUGGUGAGUCGGACUUAACUACCAUGGAUACAUUGAGGUAGGUUCUGUCACAAACCUUAUGAUUUCUCGAUCAUGACAUAUAUGAAUUCAUUUACUCCAUCACAUCGCAUAAAGAUGGAUCCCAACUGAGGUUGGGGUAAAUAUUAGAUUUCUUAACAUUAGGGAAAGGAAUGAUUAACAACUAAAACUGAUAUGUGGAAUGAAUUAUCUAGAUUCUUGUAGAAAAUAUGAACUCAAAGUUCAAGAGAUAAUUCAUUUUAAAGGUAUUGCAAACUAAUGUAAGAUGUUUUACUGGUCGUAUUUUAUAACUCAAUUAUAAAUUCUUCAAUCAGAAGUCUUUAAAGAAUCAAGUCUAUCACACGCCUGAAGUGUGAUAGAUUAAUUGAUUUCAAAGAUAAAAUUUCUUGGAGAAGGAGAGAAGCAAAUGAUCAAGAUGAUGAUGAUAAUGAGAAAAGUGUUUUGGAAGAGCAUCACGAUAUAACACUUUAUAAAAUCUUAGCAAAAAUCUACUUACCUGAAAAUGAUGAAUAUGAAAAGAUCUUGAUAAAUGAUAUCUGACUGAAAAUCGAUAUCAAAUGAACGUCAAUCCUACCUUUGAUAUAAUAUAGUGCUUAUUAUUAUAAAUGAUAGUGACAAUCUUGAAUUCGAAUCUAUCAAACAGUGUGGACAGAUACAUGAUUUUCCAUAUAUAAAUUACGUAAUUCAAGUAUUAUUGUUUCACAUAAAAGAGUGAAUAUUUUAAUUUAUAUUCAAAAACUAGGAAUAAUAUCAGUGGUGUAUAAAUGAUUUUUUGUGCGAAAAUAAAAUUAUAAGUAAAAUUGUUGAUAUAAAUAUGAUUUAUGCCUUGGGACAUAAACGCUUUUCAUAAAAUUCCUGCAUUAUUUUAUGAAAAUGCAUUCACCAUGUUUUUUUCAAUAUAGCAAUACAUGAAAAGUUUGAAUACGUACAAUGAAUGACUAUCAUUUCUAGCUUGAUGAUAAAGGUUAUACAGAAAUCUUUGAAAGAUUUAAAAGGGAAGUGAUUUCAUUGAGUACCCACUGACGAUGAGAUCACUUAAUAUAAAGAAAGAUCAAAUUCGAUCUGAUGAAAAUGAUUAAAAAAAUUAUAACAUAUUAGUGUAGUUGCUGCACUUAUGUAUUAGGGAAUAUUAUUACAAGAAUAAAGUGAUGUUUUAAUCAGUGUGAGUAUUAUACGCGUUGUAGUUUUUGUCUUUGAUGAGAUUUUGUCCCAUUAAAUUUCUUGACAAGGUUUUUAAUGAGGCAACUAACAAUAUGUAUUACUAAACAUGUCUUCUAUUUAACAGAUGAAGUGUUUAUCCAUCAAUCAACAUACGCUAAUAAGAGUUUAAAGCAGUUUUACAUAGAUAUAAAUCACAUCCAUAUUUGAGUUCCCAAUGAUUGUGAGAUUGCUCGAUUUAAACAAAAAUCUGUUUUGACCUAAAAGUUUCUUGAUGAUUAAGCUUCACAUCAUAGUGCUAUUAGGAACUAAUGUAUCAUGCCAACAAUAUCCGAUUAAAUAUUUAUUUUGUAAUAAAUUUAUUGGUGAAAUCUAGCUUCUCUCCAACAAAAAGACAUUGAAAAUAUGUUAUAACAUAAAUUCAAAUAUCUUGAGGGAACAAUUGAUAUGAGAUUAUUUUAUUCUAAUACAUCUAAGUUAAACAUGAUCUUGUGUAGAUGGAGGAUAUUUAUCUAAUCAACAUAAAUCUUGAUCUUAAACAGACUAUUUAUUCACACAUGGAGGUAUAACUAUAUCAUGGUAUUCAAUAAAGAAAAAAUAAUUGUCAUUUAUUCAAAUCAUUACAGAAAUAAUUGCCAUUCAUUAAGCCAGCUGAGAGUGGGUAUGAUUGAGAUCAAUGGAUCGAUAUAUUUUACUAUUAUGUAGCCUUUAUUUGCAACUAAAGAUUUCAAUAAUAUAUUAUGAAGAUAAUGUUGCAUGCAUAGCUCAAUUGAAGGAAUGAUACAUCAAACGAGAACGAAUAAAGUAUAUUUCAACGAAGAUAUUUUUCACACAUAAUCUUCAUCAAAAUGUUGAAGUAAAUGUUCUACUAAUUAUCUCGAAGAUUUAUUCACUUAAAUAUUUCCAACAUCAACAUUUGUGAAACUAAGAUAUAAAAUUGGAAUGCAUCGUUGCAUUGUCUCUAUGAUAUCAAGUAAAGUUUUCAUUAGGGGAAUUAAAAUGUACAUUGUAAUUUUUUCCCUUAAUCAAAGUCGUUCCAAUAAAUUUUCAUAGCAAGGAUUUUAUGAGGCAACACUCAAGGGUUGUUACAAGAUUUCAAAUAAUAUUUUAACGAGACACAUUAUCUAUAAAUAUUUAAGAAAAAUAUUAUAGAUUCAUUUAAUAAUGAAUGUUUCAUUCAGUGAACUUUUGGAAUAGAUAAAUCUAAUUAAUGUAUCUCUUGAAGUUUAUAAAACUAACGGAUGAUUUAUAUUCAUAUAAAACGAUAUCUUUUACUUUUGUAAAACACACACCACAGUAAGGAAAAAAGAAAUAUCUUUCAUAUCUCGUCUUUAUUUUUGUUUUAUAUUAUUCAUAUAUUGCUUAUAUUUUAUAAUAAAAUAAAUUAAAAUGAAAAAAACAUAAAAUAACUAAUCUUUUUAUGUGAAGGUGCUACAAUAGAGUCAUUCCUUUUGUACUUUUUGUUUAACAAAAAUUUUCUCAAAUGCCUUUAAGUACCAGCGCAAGAGCGGUAUAAAGACAACUCAAAGGCACAAAUAACUGACAAGAAGAAAAGCAAUUGUACAAAUUUAUGAUCUCUCUUUCACGCACAUAGAAAAAAAUACAAUUGUUUGAUAUAUUUUAAGACCUAACAAACUUAAAAGGAAUUUGAUUUUAAAAAAAUAAAUAAAAAAAUUUAGCUAAUCACAGUCGCGACGGAUAUAACUAUAUACCAUGUAGCAUAAAUCUUUAUACAUAAGUGGAUAUAGAAUAUGAAUAUGUGAAAUUCCACAAAUAGAAUCUAAAUAAAAGACAUGAAUAUAUUCACCAAAAAAAGAAUAUGAUACACAGUAGCCUCUCUCAUAUUUUGAUUCACUACGCUAAAAAAAAUAAUGAUGCUAUAAGAAUCAUUUUUUUAUGGGGAAAUUACUCAAAUUAGCCACUACUGGGCUUUUAUUACCACUUGAAGACUAAUUUUACCAUAAUUACAUUUUGUAGCCGGAAGUGUGAAUAAGUUUAACAUAAUUACGGAUCCUGACACAUGCUUGUUUUAAACCAAUAAACCAACAGCACUUUUUUCACUUUACUCAAACUCUCCUUUUACCCCUAAAUCAGUCUCUCUUUACGCCUAAAAUCUCAAUCUAAGAAGCGGUUUCUUCUUCAAUCCACAUCUCUCUCAUGAUAAUAAUCAAUAAAUCCUCAUAAUCUAUCAACUGAUAUUCAUAUUUUAGGUUAGUUUUAACCUACUUGUGUGUGUAUUUGAUUAAUUUAUAAUUUGAAUAGUUAGUUUUUUUAGCAGAUUCUUCAUUUUGAUUUAGCAAUGGCGGAUAAUACUCUUACGAAGAUGGUUACUAGAAGUAUAUCACGUAGUGACCCUGAUGUACAUACGGUUCCAACAUUUAACGUAGGAAUUUCUCAAUCCGAAGAAGAUGCAUUGACUUCGAAAGAAGUUAGAGGUAUUGGGUAUAAAAGAAAAGUUAGAGAUGAAGUUUCGAGUUCGGACAAUGAUGAUGAGGAAUUGGUGAAAGAGGUAUUUUAUUUUUCAAUUUUUUACUUUGUUUUUUAAUUUCUUACAUUGUACUGAAUGAUUGUUAUUUUUAGUGUAUGCAUGUAUUUAUGUAUGUGUAUUUGUCCUAUUAAUGUGUACUGAAUGAUGGUUAUUUGUUGUAUGUAUAUUUGGUAUUGUAUGCAUGUAUUUAUGUAUGUGUAUUUGUCCUAUUAAUGUGUACUGAAUGAUGGUUCUCUGUUGUAUGCAUAUGUGGUACUGUAUGCAUGUAUUUAUGUAUGUGUAUUUGUCCCAUUAAUAUGUACUGAAUGAUGGUUCUCUGUUGUAUGCAUAUAUGGUACUGUAUUCAUGUAUUUAUGUAUGUGUAUUUAUUCCAUUAAUGUGUACUGGAUGAUGGUUAUUGUAACGCUCCAAAAUUAGGUCCCAAGAUGUCACACGAUGCUUAGGGUCACAAGUGACCCCAAGCUAACCCUUCUACUGGCAUAACUCAUAAGCAACUGAAUAAAAUGCUUAAAUUUGUAUAAAAUCAGCGGGAACAUAAAACUUUUCUGAACUUAAUCAAUACAAAUCUGAACUUUACAAGAUUACAACUCCGUUUUUAUCAAAAUAAAAUAGAAACUGAAUACAUUAACUCUACUGACUGUCUAUGAAGCCUCCACUAGUACUGACUUUAGAUAGCCAGAUCAUGACUUCCAACUAUCCCAACUCAAUACGAAUGAAAUAGGAAAAUAAAAAACUGCUCAAAUCGUCUAUCUGGAUCAAACCCUUGAAUAAAAAGGAUUUAUUACCUGCUGACUAGAAGCUGUGAGCUGACUGAAUCUGAAUGUGCACACUAAGUCUUGUACCUACAUUAUGAUACAAUGUAGCACAUAGACGUAUAUGUGCAUCAGCACUUUGGGAAUGUACUAGUAUAUGGGGGUGUAUGCAAUUAAAUAAUCAAUAUCAUAAAUCCGUAUAGGAAACAUACAUGCUAGUAUAGAUGACACAUAGCUUGAAUUAAAACCAUCAUAAUCAUGAAUAAAAAAACAGGUAAUGUAAAUCACGUGAGUCAUUGCACUUCAUUCUAAAUCUGCAUUCUUUCUUUAUUAUCAAACUUGUAAGAUAGAUAAACUCUUAAAACAGCACCUUUCAAAGAAUACACUUAAAUCUCAUGAAAACUAGGGACUUCUUUGGCAACUUAAAAAUUUUGACACUUAAGAGCCUUAGAAAUCUUGGACUCAUAAUUUUCAAAAUACAUAUACUUGUAUCUUAGAUAGAGUGGGGGACUACUUUGGGAUUUUCUUCUAACUAACAUAAACUAUGUGAGCUAUAUGGAGUCCAACGUCUUACCCACAUUGGAGAGAGUUGUUCAAUCCUUGCCAUUGAAUAGAACCUUAACUUUAGUGAUCACUAUCUUAACUCACUUGGGGUAUAUCAGAAAUCUAUGGGGGCACGUAGUUUUGGGGCAUGAGACCUCGAAAUCAAGCCCAACUCAGUGCAAAAUACUACUCCCUUACUUAGCUUAGAACUUUAGAAAAUCCACCUUAAAAUAUUUCAAUAAUAUGCAAUGGGAGCCAAAAUGCAUCCCCUUUAUCUCAAAAUCAAGAAUAUGGAUUUCUUUCUUAACUUAAGGUCAAAACUCACUUCUUUCUUAAAAUCUUGAUAGACUUAUCAUUAAAGCUUUAAAGAUCUCAUAAUAAUGGAAAUAUAAACAUGUUUCUUGCAAUUCUUUAAAAGUCAUCAACAACUCAUUCUCAAAACUCAUAAUUUAACAAUAAGGCUCAACUCAUAACAACAGGUCUUGGGAAUACUUGAAAAUUUGAAAUCAAUAUAGGAAUUUGCAAUUUAUAUCAUGAACUCUCAAUUUAUCUCAUAAUUAAACAAGAUAAUCAUGCAAUUCAAGACUUGAACAAUUUCAUAAUCUCAUAAGCUUGAAAUAUAGCAAAAUAAUAUGAAUUCAUCUUGGAAAUACGAAAUUCUUUAAGAAAACUAAAACUUUUGGGCACAAGAACGAAAGGGUGUUCUUGUUCAAAACCCACAUACCUUAAACUUAGAGCUUUUGGAUGACUUCAAAAAUUUUGAAAGGUUAUUCACGAACUAUUAGGUGUCCCUCAUAGCCCUCUUAACGGGGAAUUCAAAUAUGCAAGAAUUAUUGAAUUCUCACAGUUGAAUCUCUAGAUAAUUGAGUUUUUAUGUUGAAACCCUAACCUUGUGGUUAAAGGUGUGCAGAGAAUUUUGAGAUGUUUAACUAAAGAGAAAUAGAAGAAAAUACGUUCUCUGAGGGUUAUAAGUCAUGGGAAGUGCAAGAAAAAUACCAAAAUACCCUUCCAAAAAUGUCAUUAAAUCGCCGAAACAAGUAGCUGACGACAUUCAUGACAAGUCGUCAGACUUGUGACAAGUCGUCACGAAAUGUCGUCACAAAAGGGUGGAUUUUAUGAUUUUUGGCUUAAGGUUGACGGCAUUUUGUGACAAGCCGUCAAACUUGUGACAAGUCAUCAUAAAAUGUUGGAUUUUGUGACUUUCUGCUUAUGGUGAUGACAUUUUGUGACAAGCCAUCAGGCUUGUGACAAGUCGUCACAAAAUGUCAUCACGAAAUUUCUAGGCUGAUACGCUGGAGUAAAAUGGGCAUAACUCUUUGCUCCGAUAAUGAAUUUUGGCAAAAUUGGUACAGUUGGAAUGAAAAUUCUAAGAGAUUUCAUUUGAUAUAAAGUAGGCCACCCAGUUCAUCAUAUACAAGGAGUUAUGCUCGAUUGAAGUCGACUCAAGUUUCGACGCUCACUAAAACUUGAACGAUAGAAAAUCUUUCAACUUGACCUUGAGUUAGGGGAUCUCUAUGAUCUCAAUUCAUGCCAAAAUAGGUUCCCACACUACAUAAUUGAUUAACAUACCAAAUUUGCAUAGGAUUUAUGGAUUUUGGAACAUCUACAAGUAGAAAUGACGGUUUGCGUUCUAGCCCGAAAUGCGGGGUGUCACAUUAUUUCCCCCUUGGAAUCAUUCAUCCCCGAAUGUUGCUAUUUAGGUUAAGAAUACAAAGAAAACUGAGGAUACACAGUUGAAAUAACUUAUUAAAUUGAAUUAAUAUCUUUCUAAACUUUGGCAUACUUCGAUGAAUGCAUAUACUCAUGAUAAGAAUAGCUAUCUAACUGAAUCUUUGAUUAGAAAGGAGCUGAAUGAAGGAAGGUUGUUACGCUUAUCUGAAUCUGAGCUAACUUGUCCUUUUUACUUAUUUACGAAGAGCUAAAUCAUGCUGAGAGUUUAGAAUUUGCUUGAUGUGCUCAUGGUGUGAUCGUACUUAUGAAACUUCAGGUAGUAAAACUAGGCUAGUUCGAAAAAUGGAAAUCCAUAGAAAUUUAUGUGCCUGAUUGUUAAACAGAACUGUUGUCUAUCCAAACUGAAUCAUACUAGAUACUCAUUCUCAAGUGGAGGGUUUCUUCAACACACCUCUAGGGAUUUCUAACAAUUUGAUGGAGCUAAGAAUUUUGGUCAAGAUCUGAACAAGACAUCUGAAUAAGGGAUUACAAUAUUGCUACAAUUCCAUAGCUUGGAAUCAUAGGCCUUUGAAUCAUAGACUGGGGUAGAAUUUGCUAGGCUUUAGGCAAUGCAACACCUUACUUGAAACUUAGACACACUUCUAAAAUAUUCUAUCAACUAUUCCUUUACCUUAAAAACCAUACUUAUUGAUUCAUCUCCUAAUUUUAACAAGGCCGCUGAUAUUUCCUUCUACUCAGGUCUAAACUGAACUAAAUUCCCUUACCAUCUUCAAGACUAACCCACAAUCAUAGGGUACACCACAUAACACUGUACUACUAGUCUGAACCGUAAUUCAACACACCCUACACUUCACAACUUCUCAUCUCAUGAAAACCCUUACUACUACUUUAACAACUACAUUCAACCUCGUACUAGACAUCUUACUAGUGUGUAGUGCAUUCAUCUAAAUAUACAAACAUGAUGUUUAAUCCUCACUUCUAUAACCACAUAUGCACUUCUAAACACUCUCCCCUAAAAUACCUUUGUCACAACUUACAAACCUCUAUCAAGAACAACUUCCAUGCACUACUCCUAAGAAGACAUAUAUAAGAUUUCAACUACCCAAACAUCUUAUAUAAAACUUCGACUAACCAUGAUGGGUAUUAAAGACUUGGCUUCAAUCUUACUUUACACUUUACUACCUUAGCUAAAAUAAGCAUACAAUGAUCUUCCAGUAACAAGAAAUGUUUACUCUCUCCCAUCCAGACAACUGAUCAUCCUCACUAUCUUGACCGAGGGAAAGGUAAUGUAAGGUUAGAACAUGAGGGCCCAAAAUAUGAGGGGAUACUAUGAAACUUGACACUCAACUGAGGCUUAAGGAAUAGAAUAUAUAGCAUCAUCGACUUAUCAAAGAAGUUUAAUCUAAGGACAUGUAAGAUAUUAAUCCGAAUUUCACUGAUCAUUAAAAGUAUUGCUUGAGUACUUGGACUGAUCAUACUGUAAAGCUUGAGUACAUGCGUCAUGAGCUGCAUGACCUGAAUUGGGAGUUCAUAACUUAUGGAAUGUGAUUCCAACUGCUAAAAGAACUGGAACUCCUCAUUUUUGGGAACUAGGAGAGUACAUAAUUCUCCAUCAUAUAUAUAAACACGAAUUAGGAUCAUGGAACUGAACGUAAGGCAUGAGUAUGUAUUGGGACAACUGAAAAUACUGAAAUAAGAUUGGGUCAAGCAUUAAUCUUUCUUACAGCUAUUCUACAACUUACUAGUACAUCUACUAGAAUCUGAAGGCUUGACUUGGUUACUUGUUCUCUCAUCUCCCCCUUAGAUGUAAGCCAUCACUCUGAGGCUGUGAACCAUUAUAUAAACUCGUCUAACUACAAUCACGUUACUCUAGAGUCUGGGAUAUAGAUGCACAUGAACAAAAGAACUUAACCCAAAUUACUACACCUGAAAGCGUAAAACUAACUUCUAAUACUCACUUCUGAGCUACACCCUAUCUUUUUACAGCCCCAAUAGCCAUCAUUUAACACUUGAUCACUUACUAACUUUGAAUCUGCACGAGCAUCCCCAUAGUUGGAGUGCACACAAUCUAGUGCUUCAACUCUUAUUCUUAUUAGCUAAAUCUUUGAAAUUUCAAACUCAGAUUCUAACACUUAACAUGGGUAUCUCCAAACCUUUGAUGGACCAUACAACUUCUGUCAUAGUCUACCAAUAUUACGCUCGUAAACUUAUGUUUCUAAACUAUGAGAAUCACAGUCAUACUUAAAAAAACUCAACAUCUUCAAUCAUAACUCCUUAACUUAGCUAUCAAGAACAUUACUUAUUAUCUAACUAGUCUUUCUCCACCUAACAUCUCAACGGUACUACUGACCACACAACAUGCAAUAAUCCUCAAAAAAAAAAUAAUGCAGUCUCAUAGCACCUUGGGCGUACUUCUGCAUCAUACAUACAACGUCAAACUUGAUUAUAAAUCAAGUAAACUUAUGCUUUUCCAUACACUGUUCAAGCCUAUUAUAUCAUUUCCCUAUAACUAGCAUCACUAACCAGACAAUUAUUACAUCACCUUGAUAACCAUCAGCUUUUCAAACUUAAUGUCUAGUGCUAAACAUGAUUAACAGUAAAACCUUAUACACUAUUCUCACUUGGAAACUAUAAAAUAAAGCAUAAAAAUUUACACUAGUACACUAGAACUUCAUAAGAACAAUAAUUGAGCAAAAUUAUAUGGCCUAUCUUAUUUAUAGCUACUAACACAUCCUCCUUCUACACAUAAUUACUAUUUACCCUUCUUAUACAUCUAAACUCCUUCAUAGCUUUAUAAGUUUCAACUAAACUUUCUCUUGCAAUCUCAACAAAGCCUAAAUUAACAACAGUUACCCACCAAGUACUUCAAUCAAAACCUAUACUUUUCUAGCAUAACAAAUACCAUCAACAACUCUUUUCUUACCUCAAGCAAACAACAAUCCAUCUUAACUAAUAAUCUACUUCUCUAACUUUCACUAACCUAACAAACAAGGGUAUAUCACUUCAUUACUAAUUCAAUCAUAAGCAAAAAUUCAGCUAUACAUAUUCAAGAAAUCUCCCUUACUACCUUUAUUGUCACCACACUUCUAAACUCACACUUUCAACUAAUACAAGAACAACAAGAUAACCAACAAGUUGCUAGUGAAUCGAAAUAGGCCUCACACGGUUUCACUAAACUUUGAUUUUGUGUUUUGAAUAAGAAAAUAAGAUAAAUAACAAAGCAACUAUGCUAGUGAAUCGAAAGAGCCUCACACGGCUUCACUAGACUUUGAGUUUCAAAAAUACCAUGAUAAUAAGAUUACAUAUUACAAGAUAUAGAAACUUGACACAUCAUAUUAAAUGAUCUAAGAAUACACAUCUUGCUCUGUCUAAACAAAAUAACUCAAAAGAACGAGGGUAUAACUUUAAAUUUGAGGGACUUAUAACACACUAGAAGGCUCCUCUCAAGAUGCUUUGUGUGACUUCUGAAGCUUCUUGCUAUCCAAUCUGAGAGCGUUAUCUGGGGAGGAACUGGAACUCACUAAUCAUGCUAUCUCAAGAAUAAUACAUAGAUAGGGAAGUAUAGCCUUACAUUAUAGAUUCUGAGGAGGAAUCUGGAAGUACAUCUGACUUGGGCUUAAGCACGACUUUUAUGAAUCAUGAAUAGAGCACUUCAAUCAUCAGAACUCAAAAGCACUGAUGGGAUACUUUAUAGCUUACUUACAAUCUGAUAACUAUCUGUAGAGACUAUCUCAGAAAGUACUAUCUGUAAAGAUUUAAGCUUGACUAUUUCUGAUACCUUGAAAAUAAGACAGAGAUGGCUCGGAUAGAGUAAGAUGAGAAUUUAUAUAAGUUUCUUAAAGAACAUUUCUAUAGCACGAUCUAAAACUUGAAAGAAUAGAGACAUUUCUUAAAUGCCUUGUAGCCUCUCAAAGAAAAGUACAGACAUUUUCAUACCGUUCCGCAAGACUCUACUAGACACGGCUUCAUAGACACCCUAGGACUCUUGAACUCUGUGCUCUGAUACCAAGUUUGUAACGCCCCAAAAUUGGGUCCCGAGAUGUCACACGGUGCUUAGGAUCACAAGUGACCCCAAGCUAACCCUUCUACUGCCAUAACUCAUAAGCAACUGAAUAAAAUACUUAAAUCUGUAUAAAAUCAGUGAAAACAUAAAACUUUUCUGAACUUUACAAGAUUGCAACUCUGCUUUUACCAAAAUAAAAUAGAAACUGAAUACAUUAACUCUACUGACUAUCUAUGAAGCCUCUACUAGUACUGACUUUAGAUAGCCGGAUCAUGACUCCCAACUAUCCCAACUUAAUAUGAAUGAAAUAGAAAAAUAAUGAACUGCUAAAAUCAUCUAUCUGGCUCAAACCCUUGAAUUAAAAAAAUUCAUCACCUACAGACUGGAAGCUGUGAGCUGACUGAAUCUGAAUGUGCACACUAAGUCUUGUACCUACAUUAUGAUACAAUGUAGCACAUAGACGUAUAUGUGGAUCAGCACUUUGGGAAUGUACUGAGUAUAUGAGGGUGUAUGUAAUUAAACAAUCAAUAUCAUAAAUCCUUAUAGAAAACAUACAUGCUAGUAUAGUUAACUCACAUAGGUUCAACUAAAAUCAUCAUAAUCAUGAAUAAAAAGACAGGUAAUGUAAAUCACGUGAGUCAUUGCACUUCAUUCUAAAUUUGCAUUCUUUCUUUAUUAUCAAACUUGUAAGAUAGAUAAAGUCUGAAAACAAUAUCUUUAAAAGCAUACACUUAAAUCUCAUGAAAACUAGGGACUUCUUUGGAAACUUAAAGAUUUUGACACUUAAGAGCCUUAGAAAUCUUGGACUCAUAGCUUUCAAAAUACAUAUACUUGUAUCUUAGAUAGAGUGGGGGACUAUUUUGGGAGUUUCUUCGAACCGACAUAAACCAUGUGAGCUACAUGGAGUCCAAUGCCUUACCCAUAUUAGGGAGAGCUGUUCUAUCCUUGCCAUCGGAUAGAACCUUAACUUUAGUGAUCACUAUCUUAACCCAUUUGGGGUAUAUUAGAAACCUACGGAGGCACGUAGUUCUGGGGCAUGAGACCUCGGAAUCACGCCCAACUCGGUGCUAAAUGCAACUCCCUUACUUAGCUUAGAACUUUAGAAAAUCCACUUUAAAAUAUUUCAAUAAUAUGCAAUGGGAGCCAAAACACAACACUUUAUCUCAAAAUCAAUAAUGUGGAUUUCUUUCUUAACUUAAGGUCAAAACUCACUUCUUUCUUAAAAUCUUGAUAGACUUAUUAUUAAAGCUUUAAAGAUCUCAUAAUAAUGGAAAUAUAAACAUAUUUCUUGCAAUUCUUUAAAAGUCAUCAACAACUCAUUCUCAAAACUCAUAAUUUAACAAUAAGGCUCAACUCAUAACAACAGGUCUUGGGAAUACUUGAAAAUUUGAAAUCAAUAUAGGAAUUUGCAAUUUAUAUCAUGAACUCUCAAUUUAUCUCAUAAUUAAACAAGAUAAUCAUGCAAUUCAAGACUUGAACAAUUUCAUAAUCUCAUAAGCUUGAAAUAUAGCAAAAUAAUAUGAAUUCAUCUUGGAAAUAUGAAAUUCUUUAAGAAAACUAAAACUUUUGGGCACAAGAACGAAAGGGUGUUCUUGUUCAAAACCCACAUACCUUAAACUUAGAGCUUUUGGAUGACUUCAAAAAUUUCGGAAGGUUAUUCACGAACUAUUAGGUGUCCCUCGUAGCCCUCUUAACGGGGAAUUCAAAUAUGCAAGAAUUAUUGAAUUCUCACAGUUGAAUCUCUAGAUAAUUGAGUUUUUAUGUUGAAACCCUAACCUUGUGGUUGAAGGUGUGCAGAGAAUUUCGAGAUAUUUAACUAAAGAGAAAUAGAAGAAAAUACGUUCUCUGAGGGUUAUAAGUCAUGGGAAUUGCAGGAAAAGGACCAAAAUACCCUUUCACAAAUUUCAUUAAAUCCCUGAAAAAAAUAGCUGAUGACAUUCGUGACAAGUCAUCAGACUUGUGAUAAGUCGUCACGAAUCGCAUCACAAAAGGGUGAAUUUUAUGAUUUUUGGCUUAAGGUUGACGAUAUUUUGUAUUAAGCCGUCAAACUUGUGACAAGUCAUCACAAAAUAUCAUCACAAAAUGUUGGAUUUUGUGACUUUCUACUUAUGGUGACGAUAUUUUGUGAUAAGCCGUCAGGCCUGUGAUAAGUCGUCACAAGAUGUCGUCACAAAAUUUCUAGGCUGAUAUGCUAGAGUAAAAUAGGCAUAACUCUUUGCACCGAUAACAAAUUUUGGCAAAAUUAGUUUCGUUGGAAAUAUAAUUCAAAGAUCUUUCAUUUAAUAUAUAGUAGGAUACACAGUUUGUCAUAUACAAGGAGUUAUGGUCGAUUAAAAUCGAUUCAAGUUUUGUUGCUCACUAAAACUCGAACGAUAGGAAAGCUUUCAACUUGAACUUGAGUUAGGGAAUCUCUAUGAUCUCAAUUCAUGCCAAAAUAGGUUACCACACUAUAUAAUUGAUUAACAUACCAAAUUUGCAUAGGAUUUAUAGAUUUUGGAACACCUACACGUAGAAAUAACGGUUUACGUUAUAGCCCGAAAAGUGGGGUGUUAUAGUUAUCUCUAUUGUAUGCAUAUUCUUUGUAUUCAUAUACUACUGUAUUUAUAUUUAUAUUCAUUGUAUGAUAUUCAUAUGCUACUGUAUGUUUAUAUGCAGAAUGUGAGAUAUUAUGUUAAGGAACUUCCUUCAGAAUCAUCACAUAUGUGUUGUUAUUCCAACAGUAACAUAAUAGCAGAUUUGAAGGAAAAACUUUCUGGUACGCAGUUUCAGAUGUUUAACAAGACUUGUUUUGGGGUGUCUAUGCAAAUAUAUGAUUGUUUUGUUCAAGCACAACUAGUUAGGAGCUUUAUGUCUUUGAAGUUGGAAGAAAGUUCAAAAGAUGCUCUGGUGAUAUGUAUAAAUGGAUCGACACUUCGAUUUAUGCUUAAGGAAUUUGCAAUCAUAAUAGGAUUAAAUUGUGUUACUAAUGAAGAUGAUUUUAUCAUUGAAAAUAAAGAGCCUAAUCAGAUUGUUUCCCGAUAUUUUGGAGGUCAAAAGACCGUUAAAAAAUCAGCUUUGAUUAAAUAUUUUGAAAAUCGAGAAUGGGGUGAGGGUAAUGACGAUGAUGCUGUCAAGAUUGCUAUACUGUAUUUCAUUAAUACCUUUAUUUUUCUAGUAAGAAGCAUUGUGUAUCUGUCCCUAAGAUUCACAUUCAUUUGGUUGAGAAUGGUAAAUACAAGGAUUACCAUGGGGUAAAAAAGCUUUUAAGGACUUAGUGAAGUCUAUUUCCAAAAAGAUAGAUACACAGAAACAAUAAUAUAGAAUUCAUGGUAUGCCACUUGCUAUGCAAGUUUGGCUUUAUGAGUGUUGCUCUGCUAUUAAUCCAAAAAUUGCUGUCAAACAUGGUAGUAGAAUUUUGAGAUUACUCAAUUGGGAGACCACUGAUAGACGUCCUUAUUUUGAGGCUUUCAUUGAAAGGAUGUUAGCUGAUAUUGACAAUCCAGUAACUAUGAUAUUAUUCUUACAUUAUUACAUUUAGAAUUGAGUUAUUUACAAUUAUUCAAAAUAGUACACUAAUGUAUCUAUUAUUUGCAGGUUGUAUACAGAAAUAUAACAGCUACUUCAAGAGAAAUGGCAAUUUUGACUUCUGUAGAUGCAGUAGAAGAUACAACCUCAAAUGAUGUUUCUUCUAAUGAUGAUUUUUAAGAUGCUCCACCAACUACUGAAAAAAAUAAAGGAAAGAAAAAAGUUGGUACUGCAUUUUCUCCACCACAUAAGAAAUAGAAACAAGUGAAGUCAGUACCUUCAUCUUCAAACAUUCCUAGCAGAUCAUCCUCGAGGAAUACAACAAGCCCUUCCAUUUUUGUUUAAAAAGCAUCGAAGAUAUCAUUGUCUCCUGUUGCAAAAUAUAAGACAAAGAAAGUUGUGACUCAAAAGACUGUUCCUCGAAGGAUACUUCCUAAGAAGCCGCCUAUCCUAGAGAAAAGAAAAUCUGUUGUCAAGCCUCCAGUUAAACCCAAACCAUCCAAUGUUCCUACUGAUGUACCUUCCAGCAGCAAGUCGGAUGAAGAAUCCAUUUUGGCUAAACAAUUUACCAUUUUUUAGAAAUCGGUAAAUACAAUUUUAAUUUUCUUGAAAUCUUUUGUAUUUUUUUUCACAAGUUUCUUCUUAAUUUUUUUGUUAAAAGGUGAAGGGUGAGAUUGGUGAUUUUUGCAAGUUGAUAACUGACAACUUCAAGAGUAUUAUGAAAGUUAUCAAAUCAAUCAAAAAUGCUGAAAAAGUAGUUAUAAUACUAUAUACUUUCAUUAUUCUAUAUAUGUAAAUCUAGUGCAUACACUAAUAGUAUAACAAAUUUCAUUUAUAGGGUCCUAAUGUUGAAGCUGCAGCUGAUAUACCUACUGUUCCCCAAUUUUCACCCUAAAAUAUUAAUGCUGCUCAUUUCAGUGUUCCAAAUCAGUCUAAUACAUCUACAGUUGAGCUACAACGGGUAUCAAAUUAAUAAAUUUAAUAAUUUGUAUAUAUAUGCAAUGUAUUAAUUUUUUUCAAGUACGUUUGCAUUUAUGUUUUCUUACAAUAUAGAAGUAUAUGAACAAUAUAUUAGUCCAUCAUAUUUAUCCAACUUUUAUAGGGUCACAAUAUUGAAGCUGUGGAAGAUAUACCUAUUGUUUCUCAAUCGUCAUCUCAACAUAUUGGCACUGACAGUUCUAGUACUCCAAAGCAGGGUGAUACUUGUAGCGUUGAGCUACAACAGGUAGCAAUGUAUAACUGUAUUUUAAAUUGUAUAACUGUAUAUCUUUGAUAUGCAUUAAUAUUUAUGUAUUUACGUAUCUAAGGAAAUAUGUGACGCAUAUAUUAGUCCAUCAUAUUUUAUUGUUGAGCCGGAUGAUGACAUACAAUUUAAUGAGGUACCACAGAAAAAAAAGAUAUAUUUAUAUUUGUGCAUAACUUUUAUAGACAAACUGUGUUUGUAUUUUUAUUUGACAUGGUGUAUUUAGUAUUUUUAGAUACUUGAAGAAAAUCCACAUCAAAUGCAUACAAGUGAUUGAGGAUGAUGGUGUUGCUACAUUGGGGCCGGAGACUGAAUCACAAUAUGAGAUCCCUGAUAAGCUCCUUCCAAGCUUAAACUUGGUUAAAAGUAUCAUCAUACAUCCAACUAGAUCUAUAAAUGAUACAACACCUGCACCAAAACAAAGGAACAGAAAAAGUAGUCGCUGAAACUUUUCUCCUUUUACAACAAAGUUUGGAUCAUCAUCUAGUACUCUAUUAUAUUUGUCUCACUGUAUUUGUAUUGAUUAUUCAUCACACUAUAAAUAUAUCUUAAAUAAUUAUGCAUACAACUUUCAGGUACUUCUGCGAGUGCAUCAUGUGAUUCACCCAUAUUGAACAAAAAACAUCUAUUUACACCUUUUAUUGACUGUUCAUAUGAUUCGUCUAUUGAGAACAAGUAUUUGAAAUGGAUUAAAGAAGGGCUUCUUACUACACAUAAGUGAAAGUACGUUACUUUUACUAUGUUUCAACUGAUUAGCUUUUUAUCAUAUUGAAUCCGUUUCACAAUACUUAUGGCAGGAAGAACAAUAAAGACCAUUUCAGGAAGCAUAAAUCAGACAUUUUGAUUCUGUUGCAAUUUGGUGUAGAAGUUGUCAAUGAUAAGAAUUGGUUCUACAAACUAUCUUUUUCAGGGCAAUUAUUGAAUAAUGUGGUACAUAGUACAUUGACUUUAUUUUAUUAUGUAUUCGAUUUUAUGUAUUGACACACAAUUUAAUGUUUACAGCACAUUAAUGUCAUAUUCUAUUACUUGCACAAGAAAGACAAGUACAGUCCUCCAAGUAACUACACUUACACAACUGCUGAUUGUGUAUUCAAGAUUAAAGUAGCAGAAUUAUGGGAAAAGUAUGUGGACCCAUAAAGUUGUACAUCUUCUGUGCGUGAAGAAUAUGUUGUAUGUGAAUACAUAAAUGAAUAUAGGUUGAUGGCUGGUGUCCUAUGGCAUACAGUAGAUCAUGUUCUAAUUUCUUUGCAUGUGAAAGAACGACUUCACUGGGUACUUUUUGUAGUGUCGUUCUUAGAUCGGAGUUUAUAUAUUUACGACUCGUACAACUCUACAAUCCAUGAUGUGUAUGUCAAAACAGUGGUGCAAAAGUUUGCAGAGGUUAUACCUUCUUCCUUUUUGAACGUCGACUUCUAUAAGAAGAAAAUAGACAUUGAUUGGCAGUGUCACCCCAAGUACAGAAAUAAAGAUGAAACUGAGCCAUUUAAGGUGAUUUUUGUCAAUGAUAUACCUCAACAAAGAUCUGACAGCAUGUAUGUAUAUAAUGCAUCAAUAUUUUACUUGUAGUACUUAUGCUGGUAAAUAUAGUAACAUAUUUUUGUAUUUAUGUUUUUAGGGAUGUGGUAUUUAUGUUGCUGCUUAUGCGGAGUUUCUCACUGGUGGUCAAGGUGUGCCAAAUCAGGAAUUUGAUAUUGUGCUACUCCACACCUAAUAUGCUGCUUUGCUUUGGGAUUAUGAUAGAAAAAAAAAAGUGGCGCUACGAGUGACGAUGAGGCACCUGCAAAGAUGCAUAGAUACUUCACUGAUUGGGACAGUAGCAAGGAUGUUACUAUAUUGUAAUGCUAGUUUAUGUUCUAGAAAGUUUCUGGGAUUAUGUAGUUUUGAUAAACACAGCAAUAGUGUAUGUGUUUUAUGUGAUACUAGUCUCCUUUCUUUUGAACUAUACUCUAUGUUUAUGUUUUGAAUACACUUUAUCUUUUGUGGUUUUGGAUGAAUAAAUCAGUGUAUGCGGUUUAUAUGAUAGUAAUUUCAUUAUAUUUAUGUUUUGAAUACACUUUAUUUUUUGUGGUUUUGGAUGAACAAAUUAGUGUAUGCAAUUUAUAUGAUAGAAAUUUCAUUGUGUUUGAACCGUAGUGUAUGUGGUUCUAUUUCGAUAUAUAACAUUUUAUUUGCAUUUGUUUUUCCCUCGAUCUUUUGUGUGUAUUAAAUAGUCUCAAUGUAAAGGUAUUGAUAUGAGUUUCGUACAUGAUUUACAAUGUCAAUUGACAUGUAUUCUAUCUCAACAUAAUAGGAUUACAUUUUUAUGCACAAGUAUUUAACAAAUGAAAAAUCAUAUGUAUUUGAUAGUGUCAUUCUACUGAAAAUAUAUGUCAAUACAUUUGUGUAUUGCUAAUUACCUGAUAUAUGAAAACACAUAGAAUAUCAACUAUAAAGAUCAACAGUUAUCACUACAUUCAUGAAUACAAAUAGCUAUAUUCAGCAAAUUCAUUAUGAUCAUUAAAUUUGUUCAAACAAGAAUAUAGUAAAAAACACUUAGAUUGCAGUAACUAAAGCAGAUUUUUAAUACAGCAACAACUAAAGCAGUUUUUAAACUGUGUUCCAAAUUGAUUGUAUAAAAAAAUUAACUAGCUAUUUAUUAUAGUAGCUUUUAGCUAAUCCCAACUUCAAUGUAUCUCCUCAUGUGGUGCAUUACCACAUAAACGCCUGUUAUGACCACGAAAUCCACAUGUGCUACAGAUUUUUUUCUUCUUUUUAUACAGCUCAGUGAAUGACUUUUUUCGUUUUUUCUUUGGUCUUCCAGGAGGGCUUUUAAACUUAAGUGGUAGUACCACUUCUUUUGUAACUUCUUUAGGUAUCUGUCAGUCAAUCACAUCUGGAAAAGGAUACACUAGAAUCUCAUAUGUUUUCAACACAAUUUCUGGCUUGUAAUAAUCUGAGCAAUAUGGACCUGCUUUGAAUUUCUUCUUGUUUAAAAUAGCCAAAGCAUCCGGGCAUGGUAUUUCAUCAUAUUGAAACUGUCCACAACUGCAUUUUUUGUUUUCAAGGCAAACAAUAAAGGAUUUUCCUUUGUCAUUUACUGCAUAUAAGUAGUCUGUUGACGGUGUAACCUGCAAUGAAUACAUAAAGACAACACAAAUCUAAAUCUAGAAUACUAUAUAUUAAAUACAUAUGUAUCCUAACAUACUGUUAUACAUGCUGAUAGGGUAUCAUUCAUUGUAAGAAUCUCCUGAAAUUUCAUGCUAAGUGUUGUGGAUGUAAAGGAAGUAUUUUGCCUAUUAGUGCAAUUCCAUCGUCCAAACAUCUUUCUCACUUCUUCAAAAAAAAUUAUAAAUUGGCUUCUCUCUUGCUAUUACCAGUGCUGAAUUAAUAGACUCAAUAUUUGAUGUCAUUGUCCAUCCUCUGUGAACAGGUGCAUACACCCUUGACCACUUGUCAUAUCCUGCCAACUCCAAAUAUUCCUUAACUCUCACAUCUACAUUUUGAACUAUUUCCAUCAAGCUGUUAAAAUCAGAUUGUCUGUAUGCUUUAGCCAUGGUAUAGUACACCUUGCUUAACUGGUCAUGUGACUUCCUGUAUCUUUUGUGUAAAUUUUACCAUAAGUUCCAUAUGCAUGCAUAAUGUGUUACAUCAGGGUACACUUUGUAAACAGCUUUUAUGAUAUUCUCAUUUCUAUAUAUAAAAAAAAACAAUGCACAUCUCUAGUCUUUGACCGUAAGCUUCCUUAAAUUGCUCAAAAAACUAAGUCCAUGAAGCAUCAUUUUCUGAAUCAACCACUCCAUAUGCUAAUGGUAAUAUGUUACCUGUACAAAAAUAUAAAUACAAAUACAUGAUAGAUGUCAAAAUAAUCUCUAAGUUUUUAUUUAAAUAAUGUAGUGUACUUACCUGCACCAUCUAAAAUACUAGCACAGACAAAUGUCCCUAUGUAUGUUGAUUUGAGCUGGCUUCCAUAAACUACAAUGAUUGGUCUAAAAUGCUCAAAUCCCUUGAUAAAAGCAUAAAGAGAUAUAAACAGAUACAAAAAUCAAUUUUCAGGCGUUUUAUUCAUUCGAAUAUGUGAUCCAGGGUAAGUUUUUUCCAUGAUGUAUAAGUAUGCAGGUAACUUCUGGUAAGAUCGAGCCGGUUUCCCCAUUAUAGAAUCUACUGCCUUCUCUUUAGCACGCCAAGCCACCAUGUAUGUCACAUCCAGUCCAAUGUCUUUCUUUAUAUCAUCUCUAAUAUCAGUUGGUGUAUAUUUUCUCUUUAAAUUGACUAUUUUGAUUUAAUAAUCCUUGCUAUCAAUUUGCUAGUAGCAUAAGAGUCUUUGUAGAUCUUAUCCUUCAGUGAAUAUGUAUGUUCGCUUACAAAAGUUCGAACUACAAACUGCUUAGAAUCGUUCAUGCUUGACGACUUGAAAAACCACUUGCAUUCUUUAGAUUUACAUUUAAGUCAAUAGCUGCAUACUACAUAUAUAGUGAAUGCACAAGCCAUUACAAAAUUGUAUACAUUAUGAUAGUAAUAACAUUCAGUGAAAUCAAAUGUAUAAAGAAUAAACAUACCUGCUAGCAUUAGACCUAGGUACUUUGGUAGUAAAUCGGUGAUUAAUUGAAUAGUUAUGCAUUACAGCCUGAAGUGUAGCCUUGUCUUUGUAUUUCUGGCCAACAACUAUUUUUUUAUUAGUAUCAAAAAUAAAAUUUUGCAAUGUUAUUGGCUUGCCAUAGUUUGUCAUCAUCAUUUGAAGUGGAUUAAUUGAAGCGUUGUAUCAAGUUCACAAUCAUUUGCAAACAUAAGUUCAUUUCCAAUAAGAUUUUCUGCUGAUACAUCCUUGCUGAUUUCAUUAUCAGAAAAAUUAACACACAGAGGAUACUUGGCAAACACAUUGUUUAACUUCUUCAAUUGAACAUACACCUUGACUCCCAUGUCGUUGUGUAUCUCCAUUGGUUUAUUGGCACCCUCAACACUGUAUUUAAUCUUCACAGUUUUCACUCUCAAGUCUAUCAUCAGCUGGCUACCAAUAAACUCAACCAAGUCUCUGUGAGAGGCAUAUUCAUUUAAGACUAUUCCUUCAGUCUCAUAAUAAUUGUAUUUAUUGUCUUCAGUCCACUUUCCCUAAUGCCAAAUCAUGAUCAUUAUGCUUGUCAUUUUGUUUCUGUUAACGUUGAUGCAACUGUUAAAAAUUAGAAAUACAGUAGCACAAAGUGAAUACAGUAGUAUAUUACAAAGUUGAUUCGAUAAUUCAAACAUACAAAGUUAAUACAGUCAUUGAAAUUAAAGUAUCGAUCAAUUGAAAACUCUACAAGCAGUACAAACAAUUAUACACAAAACUACAAUUCACUGAAUCAUAUCAUUUAACCUAGUGUAUUUGUAUCAAGGUCAAGGAACGGAUUAAGAACUACAUUACGACAUGCCAUAUUUGAUUCCAAGGAUGAAUCAAAAUUUUCAAUAUUUUGAUGAUUUUAAAUUAUUCUGUAUUUAUUUCAAGCUCGUAUAACAGUGAAUAAAACUACAUUACAACAUUUUGUAUUUGCUUCAAAGGACGAUCAACCAAAAUUUUGAGGAUUUUGAUGAUUUUGAAUUCUUUAGUAUUUGUUUCAAACUCGAAGUACAGAACAAUGAAAAAAACAUUACGACAUACAAUACUUGUUCUGAAGAAGGAUGAAUCAAAAUUUUGAAAAUUUUGAUGAUUUUGAAUUUCUCAGUAUUUGUUUCAAACUUAAAGUACAAAACAGUGAAAAAACUACAUUACGACAUACAAUAUUUGUUCCGAAGAAGAAGGAUCAAUCAAAAUUUUGGGAAUUUUGAAUUUCUCAAUAUUUGUUUCAAACUCAAAGUACAAAACAAUGAAAAAUCUACAUUACGACAUACAUUGUUUUGAAGAAGAAGGAUCAAUCAAAAUUUUGGGGAUUUUGAUGAUUUUGAAUUCUUCAGUAUUUGUUUCAAAUUGGAAAAACAGAGAAGAAAAUACAUUAUGACAUACCUGUAUACGUUCCGAAGAAGGAUCAAUCAAUUUUUUUUGAAAUUUUGCGUUUUGUUUAGGUAUGAAUUUAGCUCUAUUUGUUCAUAAAAACGGAGAAUUGCAUUUGAGAGAAUCGUGUUUAGCUCUAUUUGUUGAUAAAAAUGUAGAAUUAUCUUUGAGAGAAUCGUGUUUAAUUAGACAAGAGAUAGUCAUUUAACAGAAAAAGCGUGAUUGAAUUUUUUUUUCUUGUUUAAAAGAUUUAUUUCCAUUUUUGGCGCAACUGUAUUCAUAUUUUAUAUGAGUACAUAGUAUCGGUAAAACUGAAUACAGCGGGUAUAAAUCGAAUACAAUGGCUAUAAAUGAUAAUUAUGUAAAAUGUGGCUAGAGAAGGUGGGUUUUAUAGCAAAAUGCUGCUAUUUUUGAAAGUUAUCCUUUUUUUAAUUUACUAUAUUAGAAGAGUGAGCUUAAAUAUAUAUUGAUAUCAACAGUUAAAUGUCAAUAAAUUCAAAUAUAAGAAUAAUUUUGAGAUUUUAAUGCUCUUGCAAGAUUAACUUGCUUAAAAAGUCAUAUCCUCGCCGCUUUAUAAUUUGAACCUUACAUCUCCCAGAAAAUUUUGUUCCUUGAAAUGUGUCCUUUUGUUUCUCUAAAUGUAGGGCCUACUCGCCCAAUCAUUUUAUACUCCUCUUCUAUGCAUUUUUUCUGAAUUGUCUUCAUGUCUUUUGGAUUUCAGAGCUUAAGUGAAAGUUCUACUUUAAUUAGCUAUUAAUUUUUAGUUUUUUAUAGAAAAUAUAAUUUAAAAUAAAAUAAUUUUCAGGGGGGCUUUUGAUGCAUUGGACAAAAAUGAUAAUUUCUAAAUAAAAUUUAAGAGUAACUUUUAUUCUAGAUUGGAUCUUAGAUAUUAGAUAAUUUUGAUAUUGUUUUAUCCCUCAUGCAUACUAAAAUGAUAGAAUUACUACUCGACAUAAAAAAAUGAGAUAAAAUAAUCUCAUCAAAUAUCUUGAUUCAUAUAAUAUCCUUACUCAUGCUACUCGCAUGCCAAAGCCAAACGCCCCUUAGGAGUUGAAAUUAUUUACAGUUGAAAGCAUACUUCUAUCUAUGUACCAAAAAAUUACAUUAAUAAAAAGGAGCAAGAAAAUGAGUCUCAAAUCAAACACCACAUAUAUAAUUAGCAAAGUAAAAACAAUUAAAACUAAAGAUACAGAUUAAUAUUGCACUCUUAAAACAAUUCUGCAAAUUUAAUAGAAAAUGCUUAAUUGUUCACCCGUGCUAGCAUGGGCAAUGAUAUCUAGUAUAUAUUAUAGAUAGAAAUGACAGGAGAAAGAACCAAACUCCAACCGAAAUCAUAGCAACUACGGAAGUUAUUCCUUCCAUCUACUGAUGUUUGUUCUCUCAACAGAGUGAUUGAUUUUGAAAAUGAAAUUUAUUAUGAUUUUAAUUCGACCUCUCUGAUAAACUGACUUAUUGCACUGAUCACAGGGAGAGGAUUCUCUAUAUGUGCAGCAUGACCAGAAUAUGGAAUUUCAACUAUUUCUGGAAUUAUCAUAGUCUCUGUGCUCUGGCACAUUGUGUCAUACAUCUUUUGAGAAAUGUUCUUAAAUUUAACAUCUUUCUCUCCAACGAUGAAUUGAAGAGGUACUCUGCACCUCUUCAGAUCUUCCCAUAAUGGCCUGUCAUACAUGAAGAGGACAAUUAGAACGGGGGACUUCGAAAAGGAAAAAAUUAGAAGGAACAUGCAUCUACAUGUUUUGGAAUUUAAGUGUAUCAGUUGGAAGAUAUACUAGGUUACUGAGAUACACAUAUUGACUAGCUAAAGGAUCACAUCAUACCAUGCCGUCCAACUAGAGAGCUACUAGGCAAUAUGGGUAUCGUUGGCUUUCUUUUAACGCGCCGAUUCUAUAUUUGUAUGUUUUAGUUGGUUUUGAGGUUAUUCGAGGCGAAGGCUCCGUGAUUGGAGGCUUGGGACUGGGAUUUCAUUGUUCGAGGUGGGUUAUGGCUUAACUUUCUUCAGAAUGGGUUGGGUAGUUAAUAUCAAAUAUAAAAGCAUGCUAUGAGUAUGGAAAUGAAUCAUGGAAAUAGUUUUAUUACUGUUGUGUGCCCGUGUGGGGGCUUAUGUUGUUGUUAUUGGUGGUUUAAGACUAAUUGUUAUGUGUGGCUCGUAUGAGGUCUUAUCUGAUAUUGUUGUCUUUGUGUAUAUAUUUGGUUGUUUGCUUCCUAGUAGAAAUGCCUAAGUUGGGGUUUAUGUGGUAUCAACGAUAUAUUACUUGCAUAUUUCACUCUAAUGGUACAUGACUUAUAUUGGAUCAUGGAUAGUAGACCUAUUGAGUGGAUUUUUAGCUCACAUGCAUGUAUAUUGGUUGGAUUUGAGAUUCUCAUUCUGGUUUAGUUGUGAGCAUUACAUCCUCAUAUCAUACAUACAUUCAUGAGAUAUUGUAUCAUUGUGGAAAUAUUGAUUUUUGAUAGAAAAUGUGACACCUUCAUAAAACCCCUUCUACCGUAGCCCAUGAGUCGAAGAAGAGAUAUGGAUAUUGAGAUUGGAUUGAGUAUUAAGAUUGUACAUGGGUUGUGAACCCCUCAUGGGUCCUACCUGGGAGCAAUGCUCAAUAGGUGUAUACAGAGGUAAUGUGAUAACCUUGGACAUAUCACAUCAUCCUCAUUGCAUUUCAUACAUUAUGUACAUGGGUUGUGAACCCCUCAUGGGUCCUACCUGGGAGCAAUGCUCAAUAGGUGUAUACAGAGGUUAUGUGAUAACUUUGGACAUAUCACAUCAUCCUCAUUGCAUUUCAUACAUAUCUUCACUGUUGUGCUUUCGUGUUUGAUUUGAUGUACAUCUAUUUUGUAUUCUUUUUGUUUUUGAAUCUGGUUUAUGUGAUGUAUUUAUAACUGUUAGUGGAGACUGUGUGAGCUACCGUUUGGGACAUUUUCUGAUUGCAGGUGACAUGCUCAUAGUGUGUAUUUUAUAUACCUUUUUUCUACUUUACUCAGUCGGCCUAUGAUACCUACUGAGUAUAAGUGGACCGUACUCAUCCCUACUGCGCCCUUUCGGUUCAGAUUCAGGUUCGAGUGCACUGCGCGACAGCUGAGUUCGAGCGAUAAUUUGAUACAUUCGAGGUAAGGGCCACUCUAUGCUUCCAGAGUCGACCUCCGACCUCAUCCUAUCUAGUUUAUGUCUUGUCUUGUAUUCAGAGACAGAUUGCGGUUCCUUUUGGAUUAUCAAAUGUAUUUUCAGACUUCGAGUUGUAUGUAGAUUGUUCUUACACUGUGGCACCGGGUUUUGGGAUGGUUUAUGGUAUUGUUUUGAUAUUCAAAUUUCCAUUACUAUCGUGUAUGUAUGGUUCGACUUCACUCUAGAAGUCUAGCCUUGGAAUUUUGGUGUUUUCUUAUUUCAUAUCAGUUUGGGUGAUUGGCUUACUUGUCAAGGCUUAGCCGCUAUAAGUGUCAUGACCUUUAGUUUUGGGUCGUGACACCAAUCCCUCACAGCUUCCAUCUUCUGCAGAUAAAUUGACCUUUAGUUUUGGGUCGUGACACCAAUCCCUCACAGCUUCCAUCUUCUGCAGAUAAAUUGAGACCCCUUAUUCAGUCUUGAAAUGUCCCAGAUACUCAAUCUUGAAAAACAAAAAGAACAUUUACUUCCCUUAGCAAAUAGGUGUUGUUUAAGCAUCUCUUGAAACACAACCUUCAAAUGGUGUAGAUGAUCUUUCUAGCAGCUACUAUAGAUUAGAAUAUUAUCAAAGUAAAAGCCAGCACAAACUUCCUCAAAAAUGCACGAAACACUGAUUAAUCAACCUUUGGAAUGUGGCAGGGGCAUUAGAUAAACCAAAUGGCAUGACAUAUUAUUCAAAGUGGCCAAAAUGGGCCCUAAAAGCAGUUUUGGGAAUAUCCUCAAUGGCCAUCCUCAAUUGAUGGUGCUAGAAUAUGAAUAGAAAUAGGACUAAUAUAUAAAAAUCCUACUUGGAAAAGAAUUAUACUAUAGUGUCUAUAAAUAGGAUCUUGAUGUAAUUAGGUAAACACACAAUUCAAUAAUACUUUUUCCUCUAUUAUUUCUCAAAUGGUAGAAAUUUCAAAAAAAAAAACACUAAGUCACCGUGAGUCAAUUUUCGGUGACUGAUUUGUGUCAUUAUCUGUUUUCUGGGUUGUGUGCCAAAUACAACACCCCCAAGAGGAUAGGAAAGUUCAAGUGCCCAAAAAAACCAACCAAAGUCGCCGAAAAAAUACAGUCCACGCGCUGCCACGCGCUUGCCGAAAAUUUGUAAUUCCGAUGAGAUCUGUACCACGCAUCGGCGUGUGAGACUUCUCUGGUCCACUUUUUUCAGUUGUUCCUUUAUUGUUGGGUCGCCCAGAUAAUCUGACUCCGACCAGUUACUUUUUUUGCAAUUCCGUCAAGUUUUUCCAGAUUUCGAUCACCGAAACCCUAAUUUCGGCGACUUUAUAUUUUCUCGACAAAUUUUCAGAGAUUCGGAUUUUGUUUCUUGGUAUUUUCAAGUUAAAAUUCCCAAGAUAUCUUUUGAAUAUGAUAUUUUUGGCUCCAAAAAUAUUGGAAUUGGAAGUUCAAGUCCUAUGAUUACUUCCGGACCAUUCAUGGGAAGUUUAAAUUAUUUAGCCUAGGCUUCCUCGGUUGAGUUGUGGUGCAAAGGUCAAGGCGUCUACGAUCACUUAAAGAACAAGGCUAGAGUGGUAGAUGAAAAGGCAAAAUCUAGUGCGGAAGAUGCGAAAGCCAAAGAACAAUGGGAGAAAGUUGACGCUUAAUUAUAGUCUCUUAUGGCGAUCUAUUGAUUCCAAGUUGAUGCCCUUGUUUCGUCCAUUCCAGACAUGUUAUCUAGUUUGGAAAAAGGCUUGUGCUUUAUACACUAAUGACACAUCUCGUUUUUAUGAUGUGAUAUCUUGAAUGACCAACUUGAAGAAAUAGGAAUCUGAUAUGUCUACUUCCUUGGGACAAGUACAAGCAGUCAUGGAAGAAUUUGAUGCAUUGAUGCCCGUUACUGUAGAUGUGGAAAAACAACAAGAGCACAGACAGAUAUUGUUUUUAGUUCUUACACUUACUGGACUUUCUACUGACCAAGAUUCAGUACGUGAUCAGAUUUUAGCUAGUCCUACGGUUCCUACAAUUGAUGAGCUAUUCUCUCGUCUGCUACAUCUUGUCGCGCCUCCCAGUCACAAAAUAAUUUCAUCACCCAUCGUUGACUCCUCUAUUCUUGCACCUCAAACCAUAGAAAAAUAAAUAUAUCAGCCUAUGGAGAAUCGACAAGGAAGAGGUCGUUCCGAAAAAUCUCGAUCAAAGUGCAGUUAUUGUCAUAAAGUGGGACACACUCAGGAUAUGUCAUAUUUUGCAUGGUCCACCACCCAGUUAUGAUCCUAUUGCUGUAAGGAAUAUAAUGAGUUCCUUCAAAACUGAGCAAGUAAGCAAACAUCUCCAUAGCCUAAUCGACCAUCCAAUAAUGCUCAUAUUGCCCAGACAGAAUAUGAUGAGUUCCUUCAGUAUCGAACAAGCAGACAUCUCCACAAGUAGCCUCAGUUGCCUAGCUUGAUACUUCUGUUGUUCGUAAUCCUUUUGCUUGUGUUUCAUAGUCUAGUACUUUUGGACUCAGGUGCUUCUAAUCAUAUUUCUAGUAACAAAUCACAUCUGUCUGAUAUUGUUUAAUCACAAUCUUUUCCUGCUAUUACUUUAACCAAUGGGAUCCGAACAAAACCAAACGGAGUUGGACAAGCCAAAUCCCUAUCUUCUGUCACUCUAGACUUUGUUCUUUAUGUCCCUGGUUGUCCUUUUAAUCGUGCAUUUGUUAGUCGUUUGAAACGUGCCCUUCAUUGUAGCAUAACUUUUUUUGAUAAUUCUUUUCUAAUGUAGGACCGCGGUACGGGACAGACGAUUAGCACGGGGCAUGAAUCACAGAGCACUUACUAUCUUACCUCUUCAAAUUCCUUCACAACAUGCUCCAUUACAGACCCUCCAGACCUAAUUCACAAACGUUUAGGACAUCCAAGUCUAUCCAAGCUACAAAAGAUGGUGCCUAGUUUGUCUAGUUUAUCCACAUUAGAUUGUGAGUCAUGUCAACUUGGGAAACACACCCGUGCUACUUUUUCACGUAGUAUUGAGAGUUGUUCAAAGUCUAUUUUCUCAUUAGUUCAUUCUGAUGUUUGGGGUCCUAUUAGAGUCAGUUCACCCUUAGGUUUUCGUUAUUUUGUUAGUUCCAUUUAUGAUUUUUCAAGAUGUACUUAGGUUUUCUUAAUGAAAAAUAUCUAUAUUCAAAAGUUUUUGUCCUGAAAUACAAACUUAAUUUGGUGUUUUUAUUCGUACUUUUCGUGGUGAUAUACCUUAGAAUACUUAUCUUCUUAAUUUCAGGAGUUUAUUAGUCAUCAAGGAAUCAAGGAAUAAUUCACCAGACAAGUGUACACCUCUCAGCAGAACGGUAUAGCAGAAAGAAAAAAUAGACAUCUUCUUAAGACUGCUCGCACUCUUCUCAUUAAAUCCUUUUCGCUACAUUUUUGGGGUGAUGCAGUCCUCGCAUCUUAAUAUCUAAUUAAUAAAAAGACAUCAUCUUCCAUUCAGAAUCAGGUUCCCCAUUAUAUAUUGUUUCCACAGUCACAUUUAUACCCUAUCCCCCCUCGUGUCUUUGGGAGCACAUGCUUUGUUCAUAACUUAGCCCCUGAAAAAGAUAAAUUAGCCCAUCGUGCUCUCAAGUGUGUCUUCCUUGGUUACUCUCGAGUUCAAAAAGGGUAUCGUUAUUAGUUCACCGAAUUUUCAUCCUUACUUUAUGUCUACCGAUGUCACCUUUUUUGAAUCUCGACCUUACUAUACAUCUUCUGAUCAUCCUGAUAUCUCUGAGAUUUUACCCGUAUCUCCAGACUUACCUGAACCAACCUUUGAAGUAUCAAUGGUUACUUCUACAUCUCCAGUUGUAGUGCCACUUCUAACUUAUCAUCGUCGUCCACGUCCACCAUCAGUCCCAGGAGAUUCAUGUCAUGCGUCGGACGCUGCUCCUACUGCGGACUUGCCUUCUCCUAGCCAAUCAGUUGCACUACAAAAAGGUAUGCGUUCCACUCGUAAUGCUAACCCACAUUAUAUGUUCUUGAGUUAUCAUCGUUUAUCACCACCCCAUUAUGUUUUUGUAUCAUCUUUCCUCUAUUUCUCAUUCAGGAUGGAAACAGGUUAUGAUAGAUAAGAUGUUUUCUUUACAUGUGAGUGGUACUUGGGAGUUUGUUUCCCUGCAGGUAAAUCUAUUGUUGGUUGUCGUUGGGUUUAUGCAGUCAAAGUUGGUCCAGACGAUAAAGUUGAUCGGCUUAAGGCUCGUCUUGUUGCCAAAGGAUGCACGCAAAUAUUUGGGCUUGAUUAUAGUGACACUUUCUCUCCCGUGGCUAAAAUAGCAAUUGUCCAUCUUUUCCUACCCAUUGUGGUCGUUUGUCAUUGGCCUUUUUAUCAGUUGGAUAUUAAGAAUGCUUUUCUGCAUGGUGAUCAGAGGAAGAAGUCUAUAUAGAGCAACCGCCUGGUUUUGUUGCUUGGGGGAGUCAAGUAGUCUUGUAUGUCGAUUGCGCAGGUCACUCUAUGAUCUGAAACAGUCCCCUCGAGCUUGGUUUGAAAAGUUUAGCACAAUAAUACAGCAGUUUGGCAUGAAUCGUAGUGGAGCUAAUCACUCAGUGUUUUAUCGACAUUCUCAACCAAAUCUGUAUAUUUAUUUGGUGGUUAAUGUUGAUGAUAUCGUUAUCACCCGCAACGAUGAAGAUCGUAUCACUAAAUUGAAGUAACAUCUCUUUUAGCAUUUCCAAACUAAAGACCUCGGCAGACUAAAACAUUUCCUAGGUAUUGAGGUUGCUCAGUCCAGAUCAGGUAUUGUUAUUUCUCAACGCAAGUAUGCCUUAGACAUUCUUAAGGAGAGAGGAAUGAUGGGAUAUAGACCCAUUGACACUCCUAUGGAUCUAAAUGUUAAACUUCUGCCAGGAUAGGGGGAGCCACUCAGUGAUCCUGAAAGACAGUUGGUUAGAAAAUUGAAUUAUCUCACCGUGAUUAGACCUGACAUAUCAUUUUCUAUGAGUGUUGUAAGUCAGUUUAUGACUUCCCCUUGAUAGUCAUUGGGAUACAGUUGUUCGUAUUCUGCGAUAUAUAAAGGUAGCUCCAGGUAAAGGACUACUUUUAGAGGAUUGAGGUCACGAACAUAUCAUUGGAUACACAGAUGCUAAUUGGGCAGUAUCACCCUCUGAUAGACGUUCUACCUCUGGAUAUUAUGUUUUAGUAGGAGGUAAUUUGGUGUCUUGGAAACGUACGAAACAUAGUAUGGUUGCUCGGUCUAGUGUGGAAGCAAAAUAUCGAGCAAUGAUUGUAGCAACUUCUGAGCUAAUUUGGAUCAAACAGUUGCUGACAGAGCUAAAAUUUGGAGAAAUCGAUAAGAUGAAACUUGUGUGUGAUAAUCAAGCAACCCUUCAUAUCGCAUCAAAUCCAGUGUUUCAUGAGAGGACUAAACACAUAAAGAUUAAUUGCCACUUUGUCAGAGGAAAGAUACUCUCAGGAGAUAUUGUUACAAAAUUUGUGAAGUCAAGUGAUCAACUCGCAGAUAUCUUCAUCAAGUCUCUCACCGGUCCUCGUAUUAAUUACAUUUGUAACAAGUUAGUUACUUAUGAUUUGUAUGCACCAACUUGAGGGGGAGUGUUAGAAUAUGAACAGAAAUAGGAAUAGUAUAUAAAAUUCUACUUGGAAAAGGAUUGUACUAUAGUGUCAAUAAAUAGGGUCUUGAUGUAAUUAUGUAAAAACACAAUUCAAUAAUAUUUUUCCUCUAUUAUAUCUCACACAGAUGGUAUCCAGACCUAAGAUCUAUUUUGGAAAAAAUCUUAGAUCCUCUUAAUUUGUCCAACAAAUCUUCUACAAUGGAGAUGGAAAAUUUGUUCUUCACAGUGGCUUUAUUCAAAUCCCUAUAGUCAACACAUAGUUUCCAAGUCCCAUCUUUCUAGUUUCCAAGUCCCAUCUUUCUUCCCUACCAAGACUACAGGAGCAGCAAAGAGAUUGCUACUUGGUUGAAUAAUGCCUUAUUCUAACAUUUGCUUCACCAAUGACUCAAUGAUAUCCUUCUUAACAGAGGGAUAUCUAUAGGGUCUUGUUGAUUGGCUUGAUUGGCUCAGUGUCCUGUGCAGUACCACUCUAUGAUCAAACACCCCUAGAUGGUAGCUGUUAUGUAGGCUCCUCAAACAAGGUUUUGAACUUCAACAAUAGACCAGCUAAACUAGGGUUGUGCUCAGUUUCCCCUUAGCUUCCAAAGCAUACAGCUGUACCUUAUUACACAUGGAGGGGAAUGGGGAUUAACUGAAUCAUGCAGAGUUCUGAAUGGUUACCUGAAAUUCUUGCCAAAUUGCUACCUCCGGCCGGAGCUCAGUAUUUGUGUGCUAGCUCCUCUCAACACGUCUCUUCCCCAUGUAUACAAAUUCCAUUGUCAACUCCCUAAAGUUAAUUUUUACGUCUCCCAAAGUGAGAAGCCACUGCACCCCUAAGACCAUAUCCUAGAGGUAAUAAUAAGUCAGCAGAGAAUUCUGUUCCUUCUAGAAACCAAGAAAUUUUGCACAUCUUGUCCACGCACAUAAUGCCAUUAGCUACAGCUACUGCUUGAGGUCUAGUCUGAGUAAUAGAACACCCCAAUUGUUCUACCACAAUGGGAUCAAAUGAAAUUGUAGGAGCUUCCAGUGCCCACUAGAAUAUGUGAUGGUUUCUUUGCAAGAUAACCAAUCACCUUCAGUGUCCUGUAACCCAAAGACCCAUUGAGAGCAUGAAAUGAAAUCUUCGUUUGUUCAUUUGCUUACUAACCUUAAAGAUCCUGACUUGCCAUCUCUUCUGGUGGCUCUUCCAGUUGUAACUGCUGUUCUCCCAUCUGCUGCUCCUCAAUUUCCAAUAUAUACAGUUGCCUAUGCCUUUUGCAGUUAUGCCCAAGCACAAGCUUUUUGCUCUCCUCAUUCAUUUCUUUUGGAUUCAACCUCCUUCUACUGAACCUCCUGCAUCCUAGCAGCUUUAAACACCAGUGAUAGAGUUGUGAUUGAAAAUCUUUAGUGCAAUAUUCAACUCUAGUCUUAACCCACCAAUGAAAUAGCUUAUUGCAUUUUCUUAAGAGAGAUUCACUCUAGUCAAGUUUCUUUCAAAGAAUGCCUGGUACUCCCCCUUCACACUUCCUAGCUGUUUCAUCUUCUUAAAUCUCUUCCAUGGGAUCAUGAAAGUCAUUCCCAAACCUCUCUACUAGGGUCUAGGGCUAUCACAUAUUCAUUCCAUGUGGCUGGAUGAAAGUAUUGCCGAUAUCUCAUGAAGGAUAAGUGCCAUUGAAUGGCCUCCCCCCACUGAUUGCAAUGCAGCUACUCCAAUUUUCUCUUCAUUUCGUACAUUUUCCAUCAAAAAGAACUGGUCAAUCUUGAAUAACAAAGAUUUUAAAUCCUCAGAGGUAAACCUCAGGAGUUCCAUCCUAGACCAUCUGGAAAAAACAGAAUUGUGGUGGUUAGUGAAACUUGCAGGACUUCUGCUUCUACCCCUCUGUAGUCUUUCCCCAGAACCCCCCUCCUGCCGAGGGUUCAUCUUACUGCUCAACUGGAGUUUUAUCCCUUCAAGGACCAUGCGCAGCUGAGAUCUGAUCACGCAAGUCAAUUACCGUUUGAUCCAACCUUUUCGGAUUAGAAACCUCUCAUGCUAAAGUUCUCAUUUCAGCAAUCACCUUCUGCAUCAAUUGUUGCAAUUCCCCCAUUUCUACUGGGGAAUUCUCCAUGGAUGUUUCACCGACUGUCUUAAUUCCUUUUUCCAACAACGCCAAGGAUUCACUUGCCUCUGAUACCAAUGUUAACAGAUUUCUAGGGAUCAAGAAAUCCGAGAAAAUCUAAAGCUAGGCCAGGAGCCCUUCGGAGGGAGCUUGAGAAUGAAGCUUAAAAAUGGGGAUGAAAAAGAGAGGGAAAAAUAAGAAGAUAGGACAGAGACACGGGUAAUACUUUCUUAUUGAUUCCCAAAAUGAACAUAUACAGGAUUUAUAUCAAUUGCACGUUCACAAUUUCAGUUACUCGUCUAGCUAACUAUAACCGACUAACAGUGACUAACUGUGAGCCUAACAUUCAUAACUAACUUUGCUGAUAUGGACUUGAUCUCUCAAUUACCUGUAUCACUUUCCAGCAAAUAUAAGAUAUCUAUUUUUCAUUCUUCUCUUUCUUAUUUUCUUUUCUUUUUCCCUUUAUCAUUCCCUUUUUUCUUUCUUUAAAAAACUCAAAUAAUUUAUGUCUGAAUUUGCAUGAAAGUUAGGAAGGGGAAAAAAAAAGAGAAUUUACACCACAAAUUGGAAAAGGCAAAAGAUGUUUCAUCAACUUACGGCUGUCUCCCAACACUCAGAUCUGAUAAUACUCUCGCAAGAUUUUUCAGAUCACAAUGCUGCAAUCGGCUUGCAAGUAUUUUAUUGAAAUGUGGAUGAGUUCUUAAACUGCACGAUGUAAACAUACUUAACAUGUUAGCAAUUGGUAUGGCACAAAUAUCUCAUGUAGCACAAAGCAAGAGUAGAUGGCAAAAUCCUAUAGAGAGGAUCUCAUCAAUACCUAUUCCAGAGAUCUCCAGAAUACCAAGCAUCUAAAAAGGGCUCUAAGCCAGAAGAAGCAAGAGAGCAGGCAGCAAAAUCAUCCUUGGCCCUACGUACUUUUCUUGCUUCUUCAUCUAUCAAUCCAGGACUUCCAGAUAUUAUAACAGCUCCAGAAACCUUCCAUCAAAGAUAUUGAACAAUCAUAUCAACGGAGAAAUUUUCUGCAAAAUACCAUAGAAAAUAUUCAUUUAGUAUACCUUGUCAUUGUAUCUUAGAGCCAUGUAGAGUGAAAUCCUUGCUCCCAUAGAAUAACCAACAAGAACAACUUUUCGACAUUGUAGGCUGUCAAACAACUGCUGUAAUAUUUUUGCAAAGGCCAUAAUUGACAACCCUGGUUCCUCUAAACCAUAAUCCUGGCCUAGCAAAUUUGAUCUACCAUGUCCAGGUAGGUCCACUGCAAUGCAUCUAGCUGAGCCUGAUAUAGCCUCCAUAAUAGAGAUCCAAUCUUCUCCAGUUCCAAGGAAUCCAUGAAGAAACACUACUACACUACUCUGCAUACCUCAGAUUGUGCAUAAAAGUAUAUCAUUGGGUAGUUCAAGGUUAAUGAGAAAUAUAAAAACUUGUCACCAUGUUAAAUAACAAUAUUUUACAACCAUAAUUGAUAGAAAUAGACUUAUCAUGAAAGCAACCAAGCAGGAAAAAUAAGAUGACAUCUGGUUUCCUUUGUCAUGAUUUUUCCUUAUUUUUUUGCCCAGACAAAUUCAGCAACAAUAUAUUGCAGGAAACUUCUUCAACUAGCUAUUAGCAUUCCCAGAAUACAUUAAAAUUUGACUACGUACAUCAUCGUUCUUUCCAAUUUCUUGCACGUUAAGACAGAUGGAGGUGCCUUCAAGAUCAGCCACAAAUUCAUAUGCAUGAACUUCUCUGAAAGUAAAAUCACCACCAACUGCAUCUUGGUUGAAUUGAAAGCGCUGCAGGAUUUGUCCAGCGUCAGUAACAGAUGCCUCUACAACACCAUUGGAAGGAUUAUAGCCAAACAUUAAAGGCCUUCUGCUAACAUCUUCCCUAAGCCAUUGAUAAGUUCCAAGACCGUGGGCUACGCAAGAGUUUUCUUCCUUGUUAAGAAUUCUACCUGUAUCUAACUUCAGCAGGUCAACAUACCGUGAGAACAGAAUUAAAGCUGACAAACCCAAGGAACUUUCAAAUGUGGCACUGAUAACAGCCAUCUUUCCCUGCUGGUGAGCCCAUCGCGCAAGCAAUGCUGCAUUUUCAAAACCUCCAACAACGCUUGGUUUGAUAACCUGACAUGAUUUGGAAACUGCUUUUAUUUGUAGUAACAAAGUCAAAUCCAGCUACCUAGUUACUGCAACUGUAAGCCUACUUUGAUCACGAUCCCAAUUUUGAUAAUAAUUGACUUUGCCUUUGAAACUUCAUUAGAUGCAGCAAUCAUGAAGUUCAGUCUCUUAUUUUCAGUUUACAUACGGUGACAUCCUUCCAAACAUAGAAAGUGAUGCAAGAAUAGGUACAUAAGAUAAAGUAGAGGAUUCACUUCAUAUGAAUAGGAUGAAAAGAGUCUCUAAUGACUGCAGCUGUAGUCAUUACUUUUGUUUUUAUUUUUUUGUUAAGAUAGAGGGGGGUGAUCUUGCUCCCUGUCCUUUGCAAGUAAAUGGGUUACAAGAGACCGGAUGAUUCAUUCACGAAAUUACUUUGGACCAAUAAGAUCGAAUUUUUUAUGCAGAUCAACUCAUAUAUACAAAUCUAAUAGGAAAGAAUUCCUUUUUUAAAUAAGUAUCUGAUAGGGAACAAUUUCCAUAUAUAAUAUCUGUGUGCAACAAUUAAAAACAUGCCACAUUCUAAGUAAUGAUAGACCAUAAUACCCUGCAGACUUACGAAAGCAACUAUCAUUGGGUGAGUGUACUUUGCAAGCACAAUAAGGUGAUCUUUUCUUAUACUGUUGAUAGUUUCAUCCAGAGCUACUGGUAAGCCAGUCUCCUCGCAGAACUUGAUUAUAUCAUCUUCAUCAUUAACAGGCUCCUGAAAUAACCAACAUUUAAUUGAAGCAUCUAAUAAUGGAACAGAGAAAUAAUGUCGAGAAAUGAAUGCCUAACAUUUAGCCAAAUUAUGAUGUCGAAUUGUCUGAACAUUAAAACAAUGGCCGAGUGACAGGACACAAGCAAUUUACCCUUUUCUAAACCACCAAUCCCUGAAAUUAGGUAUCCAGUAGAUUGAACCUUUGCAACUUAAAGAUUAUAAUGCUGCCUCAUAGUUACGGUAAUUUAAUGCCUCAGGAUGUUAUUUCGUUAAUGGAUAUCUUCACAAUCAUGUCUUAUUAUUGCCUUUUGCAACUAUCUUAACUUAUAUUCAAUUCAAGACCAAAAUCUCUUUCAUACCACUUCAGUAAUGUAACCUAGUAACUCAUUUUAUCACUGUAUUGCUCUAUUUGUGUGGUGUAGAAACAUAAAGGUCAUCGAAUAAAUAUUCUGAUAUGCAAGCAAAGCUGCGUAUUCUGAUGUAAAGACCAAGAUAUGUUGAGCUUCAGCACAAAUAUUAGUUGAAUCUACAACAUCAAAGGAAGCAAAAAAGGAAAGAGGAAAGGUCAAUGGCUUCUGAAGAAACAGAUGAUAAAAUGCGUCUAAAUCUGUUGACAAGCUUAAUUGUACGAGAUGAAUCUUAAUUACUAGCUUGAUUGUAGGAACUUUGUUUCCCAAUUAGGUGUAACUAAAUAUUCUCUUAUUAUUUUCUUUCCUAGAAAAGUCGUAGAACUCUUUGUAUAAAUACCCAUACUCAUGAGAUGCAAGGAUAUACUGAAAUAAAAAGAACUUCUCACUCAAAUUCUACAUGGUAUCAGAGUCAUUGAUGCCUUUUAAGGUUAGUCUAUGAGUAUUUCUCCCUCGCAGCAAUAAGGUUAUCUUUUUUCCAGAAGAAGGUUGAGUUUUAUCCCUUCUUGAAGCUAUUCGUAACUAAACUCUGCUCCUGGCAAAGUUGUAAGAAAAUGCAUACCACCACAGGCCCUAGCCGUUGCCAGAAACAACACCAGACACAUCUCUUGAGAGAAGUUGGUAUGACAGGCUACAAACCAACAAAAUUGCUCAUAGAUAGCAAUCACAAUUUACAAACAAGGGUUGGAAGUCGGUUGAUUAAGAGAUAUCACAAAUUGGUUGGAAGACCCAUUUUUCUCUACCAUGCCAGACCAGUCAUAGCCUAUUUAGCCAGCUUGGUGAUUCAAUUAAUGCAGGUCCCCGAGAUCCUCAUAUGUAAGGCAUCUUUCACAUUUUGCAAUGUUUGAAGUCUGCUCCAAGGAAAAAUGUUCGUUUUUCUCCAAAGAUUAUAACCUCCAAAUAAAGGCCUUUACAGACGGGAUCGGGCUGGAUCUCUAGAUGACAGAAGAUCUACAUCUGGGUAUUGUACACGUGAAGGAGUAAAUUCAGCUACUUGGAGAAACAAGAAGCUAAGUGUAGUUGCUAGAUCAAGUGCAAAAGCAGAAUAUGAGUUAUGGCCAAGGUAUUUGUGAACUUUAGCUACAAAAUUUUCUAGAGGAAUUGAAGACUCUCUGGAAUAGGGACGUUUUUCUUGUUCUGUCACAACAUGGUUGCCAUUAGUAUAGCUCGUAAUCCUGUACAGCAUGAUCGAACAAAACAUAUUGAAAUUGAUCUACGCUUCAUUAAAGAAAAGGUUACAAGUGGCAUCUUGAGUUAGUUUCAUGUGUCAUCAGAAAACAGUUAGCUGAUGUGUUUACCAAAGGUCUCAACAAACAAAUUUUUCAUACACUGGUUUGCAGUUGGGCAUGUGCAACAUCUAUGCACCAAUUCGAGGGGAAGUUUGGUCCUAGUUAAUUACUAGUUUGAUUGUAAGAAGAUUAUACCCUAAUUAGGUUUAAGUAAAUAUUCUCUUAUUAUUUUCUUUCCUACAAUAGGUGGACAUAAGAAUAUACUGAAAUAUAAAGAAUCUUUUUCUUCUUUUGUCAAAUUCUACAAAAUUUUACUCCCUCCAUCAUGGAAGUGUUCUCGGUGGUUCUGCCCCUACUUAGAAAAUAGGCAUUUCAUCCCCUAACUGCUGGGGAAAUUAUGACCAGCUUACAAAUUUCUACCAAGUGAUUUGGUGCAUUACCUCAAUAUACUGCAGGCCACUAUCUUUUACAGAAAGGCCAAAUUUAACAGCUUCAUCAUAGUUCCAACGUCGAUUUGCAUCAGCACGCAGCUCAACCUCCCAACCAACUUUCUUUCUUACCUCCUUUAUAAUUGCAAUGUCCACGGUGGGAUCUGCUUGACGUGCUACCUGUGUAGGACAAAAAUUUAGUUGUUAAACUUUUUUAACAAAUUGGGAUCAUAAAAGCUUCCACUGAAAGUAACAAAAUUACGACCAAGUUCCACAUUUUGUAAAUGAUAUUCCCACCUUCAGCUUUAUAACAGUAAAUCCUUCUUUGACAAGUGUGGUUGCAACAAGAGCCAUUUCAUUGGGACCACCAUUAGACUCAAGCAGUGCACAAACUUUGACAUCUAAAGAACUCCCAGUUGCUUCUUCUGUUUGUCCGCAGAGUACAUUCAACAAGUUUGAACCUUCUCUAGCUGCAAUAGCAUUGAGGACAGCCAUCUCCAGGCCAAAUCUCACACUAGGGAACAUUGAAGUGGGCUAGAAAUGAAGAGAACAUAAUUCAGAACUAGUAAAUUUGAAGAGAUAUAAGGGACAGCCCGAGGCACUAAGCUCGUACUAUGCGCAGGGUCCAGGGAAGGGCCGGACCACAAGGGUCUAUUGUACGCAGCCUUGCCCUACAUUUCUGCAAGAGGCUGUUUCCACAGCUUGAACCAGUGACCUCCUGGUCACAUGGAAACAACUUUACCAAUUACGCCAAGAAUCCCCUUCAACUGCAGCAUUUCUAGAUGUGCCUAUCACUAUCCCUCAAAAAAAAAAAAAAAAGAUGCAUCAACCUACCUGGAUACCUAAGCUUUGCCACAACCAACGAGAAAAUGAACCCUUCAGCAAAGGAAGGGAGUGGUCAAUAGUAACUCCUUCCAAAACAUAAAUAAGGAAUUGAAGCUGCUCUUCCACAUCAAGUAGGUUUUCUUGGUGGACCUCAAGCGGUGCAACCUGUUUAUAAUAGAUGACAACCGAAAAUUUCAGCUUUCCAGAGUUCUGUCGAGGAAUUGGAGAGAGGAAGGCAAGGGGAUCAAGAGAGGGAGAGGGACGAGCAAAGCAAUACAUUGUUAAUAAUUUUAAAGCUUAUUCUUGAAGAUUUGGUUGGUCAAGAAAUUCAGGGUUACAAGUUGAAUAUCUUAUAUGCACUUCAUUUCUCUCAAGUGAAAAAGGACAAACAGCAAGAUGAAUAUCUCCAAUUAAUGUUUCUGGAUAUACAAGGAAAAGUUCAUCAAUGUACUAUAUCCAAUUUUGUUAGGUUUAGAGUAUCAUACUUUCUCCUGACCUAAUUAUCAGGCCGACCAGGUUUCCUUUUAAUGACUCGUGAAUUAUGCCUGUUCUGAUUCAACUUCAAAAACAAUCAUGCCUGUUAUGGCAAGAUAAUGUAUUGCAUCUAUGUACAGAAAGGAAUGUUUAACUGAGGCUUCAACUACUGAACAGCUGCACCAUCUGUGUCAAGCAGGAGUAUCAUAGUAUGAAAGGAAAAACUAUCCUCAACGCCUUAAAAAAAGGUAUUAGCAGUCACCUUCAUCCUAGCUUAUCUCACUUCAUCAUUUUUUGUUGCAAGAUGACCGGCUAUCACAGUUCUAGAGCAGCUAAUUUAUGACAUGCUCAAGACAUUGUUAUCGACUUUGGAUUGCAUGUAACCCUGCUCUACGCUAACAGUUUCUCUUAUUUCUAUGAUGUUGUAAAGAUAUGGCACUAGGCCUAACUCAACCCCAAAAGCUAGCUCAUGAGGUGAGGAUUGUCCAAGUCCAUAUAAGUAGACCGCCUGUCCAUUCCCUAACCAAUGUGGGACUUUCACCCACUCUAACAGAUAUAAUGGGAUUAUUAGAAAAUAAGACUAAUGAUGAUUACCAAUAUGUGCAACUCAUAACAUACUUGGUACAAUAAAUUUAUGUCCUAUUUCUCUCUUCUCAAAAGGUUUGCAUUAGUUACUCUCGCCGGAAUCACCAACAACUUCAUCAACCACGAGCUAUCACCUUCUAUGGUAGCUCACCUAGCCUCCUUUCUUCUUUAGGCCUUUAUUCAUUAUUCUAUCAUGGGAGAUAAUAGGAUAUACUUCAACCAAGUUUUCAAGUCGUACGACAUCACCAGAUGGAUUUCCGACAAUACUUCUUGGUAUGACUGAGUGGAAAGAAGCAGGAACAUGUUAAGGAGGGUCACACUUAGCGAAAAGGUGAUGGAAUGGAUUUGCUUCAUUCUCAGAGUAGCCUCAUCUGAUAAAAAAAGAUCGGGUGAGAAGAUGGAGAUACAAGGACCAGGCAGCAGAAUUCUUUGGUAACAGGAAAUAUAAUGCUCAUGGGAGAUACGUGAGCAUUUUAUCACUAAAGGGACCGGACAGAUCAGUCAUCAUUGUACCUGAAACAGACAUUAAUGCUGGGUGGAGGAGUGUGGCAUUUAAGGUACAAAGUUUUAUUAAAUGCACUCCACAAAAGGUGAUGAAGAUCCAGUACGGGACAUCUGAUAAAAAGGUGCCUUUUGCAAAGGUAGUCUCAGACAGUAAAUGGCAGAGCAACAAUUCAGAGACUUCCACAUCUAAAGGGAAAUUGACUGAAACAAAUGAAGCUGUUAAGAACAGAGAACAAGGAGUGCUUGGAAGGUGCAUAUUUGGGUCUUUUGGUAUGAACAAAGCAGAAAACCCUACUCUAUCUGAUGUUAGACGCUGGACUUCAACAGUGUGGAAGGUCCUUGGAGUCAAUAUAUUCGAGAUGAUGGAUGGUUGCUUUCUAUUCGAGUUCCCCAAUAGAUACAUGGCGGAGCAGAUCCUCCGGGGAGAUUGGAUAUGGAAGGGAAUCAGAAUAAAAUUAGAAUGGCGAAAUCCUUAUGCAGCCUGUGAACCAUCUACAUAUAAGCCUAAAUCCACUUGGAUUAGGGCUAUGGGUCUGCCUAUGCAUUUAUAGACGGAUGAUAUUUUCCAUGAGAUCGGUGAACUUUGUGGUGGUUAGCCGGCGACAGAGGAGGAAACAAAAUUGAGAAAUCAUCUCAAGUGGGCAAGGAUCGAGAUACGAGGCGAUGGCCGGAGCAUCCCAAGUGAAGUAUCUAUCUCUAGAGAUGGAAUCAAAUUCCUCAUCCCAAUCUGGGCAGAGAGAAACUCAAUUUGAGUUGUCGCCGGAAAACGGUGGAGAAGUCACCGGAGAAGAGAAGGAGGAUCGUGGGAAGACCCAGCGGAUAAUAGAGUUUCAAACCUCUAUAUCCAAGUAUAUAGGGCUGAUCGAUGUUGACAGAGCAGAGGGUGAACACAUGAGGACAGCUGACCAAGUUUUUAAAAUUUCUGAAGGGACACUUGCGGAGCAUGUGCAGAAUUUUUAAAAAGAUUUGGGCUUCAAAACAUCUGGGCCGGAUCAGGCGAUAGCUAUUUUUAAUAAUUUAAAUCCACAGCCCAAAAUCGACUUAUUUGAAGUGGUAAUUGAUGAAUCUCAGGAAGAUUACUCUUCAGUUCAGCGCAUGCAAUCCAGAAACAUAACAUCUGCAGAGGUCGGAGAAGUUAAUGGAGUCCAGUCGCGAGAGGAACGUCUCGAAGAAGAUAAGGGAGCAGAAAUUGACUGUGAAACCAGCAACAAAGUACCUGCAUCCGAGAAACAAGGGGAAGUCGUCACAAGUGACCUCAAAUCACAACAAAAACAAUUGGAGAUAGUUGAUUCUGGGGAAAUUUGGGAUGUACAGGAGAUCGAACCCCUAUGCAUCCAUGUUAGACCUGUUGUUACUAAGGUCUAUAAGCGCAAGAAAAAGGGUGAAAAUAAAGCAUAAAUGUAUCUAUUUUAUUUAUUAAUUAUUACGUGGAUGUAUUUCUAGUAGUUUCUACCAGUUAACUAGCAGUUACUUAACAGAUUAGGCAGUAUUUUGUGAUAUAUUGUAGCAGGAAGAAAAGAAUAAAAGGGGGAAGAACAUUCUGUAGGAUGCUUCUGGCAAAUUAGGAGGUUAAGGUUUCUCGAAAUACCUUGGUUGUUGAAGUACUCUCUCUAGUUGUCGCUUGUAAAACUCAUUCUACUUGUUGGUAACAAUUAAUAAUAGUUGAAGUUGUUGUUUCUACUUUUACAUUAUUUCUGGAAGUGUACAGAUUCUUGUUAAGGAAAUUUCAGGUUCCUAACAAUCCAACAACAAGAAGCAUUAAUUGAAUCAGAAAGAAGGGCUACAGCAUGGGUACAACAGAAUUUCCUCAAACUUCAUAAGAUGUUUGGAGUAAAUUUUCAGGGACUUGAAGAGGAGGCACUAGAGCUUCUAAAGCAGGUAGAUGCAAGCAGACAGGCAAGAAGAAUGGAACAAACAACGAAAGUUAAAAGAAAUAGACACAAAGGUGCGCAAGAACUGAAGAAUCUUAUAAAUUUUGAUGUCAAGUUCAAGAGUACUGGUGAUAGAACAAAGGGGACGGACGUCUUCAAUCUGCCUCAUGAAGAUCAAAUUAAUAUCAUGGAUUGUUAGAGGGUUAAAGGGACAGGGGAAAAGGAUAAUAGUACAUAAUUUGAUUCAGGAAUGGAAAGCAGACAUAGACUGCCUCCAAGAAACAAAACUAGAAGGGAAUGUGCAGGAACUUAUCAAACAAAUUUAGGCAGGAAGAUGGAUCAAACAUGCAUGCUCAGAGGCUAGUGGAACUAGAAGAGGAAUUCUAAUUUAUGGGAUUCAAGAGCUUGGGAAGGGGAAAUAGUACAAGUUGGUGCUUACACGCUAUCCUGCAAGUUUAAGGCGCAACUUUGUGAUUUUGACUGCAACAUAACAGGAGUAUAUGCUCCUAAAAGUAAAGUAGAGAGGAGACUAGCAUGGGAGGAACUAGCUGAUAUAAGAGGACUAAUGGAUGGACCAUGGGCCAUAUGUGGCGAUUUUAAUAUAUGCAGAUUUCCAUCUGAAAAAAGGGAUUGUAAUAGGAAUACUUCAGCCAUGAAAAAAUUCUGAGAUUGCAUAGAAACAUGGAACUCAUUGACCUGCAUCUAACUGGUGGCAGCUACACCUGGUUCAAAGGGGAUAAUCAUACCACUGCUUCUAGGAUUGAUAGGAUACUAAUAUCCACAGAAUGGAACAACCUCUUCAGCAGCUUAAAACAAACCACCUUACAAAGAGUGACCUCUGACCAUGUGUCAAUUGCACUCCUUGGUGGCCAAUGGGAACAAUCUAAGUCAUACUUUAAGUUCGAAAAUUGAUGGCUGAAUUCUGAAGGAUUUGUUAACAAAGUGAAGGAAUGGUGGAGUGGUUUUGAGUUCUAGGGAAACCAGACUGUUUUGGCAUGUAAAUUCAAAGCACUCAAAGGUAAGUUGAAAGAUUGGAGUAGGAUGGAACAGGGGAAUUUGAAACUAAAGAAGAACAAUAUUUUGAAUUAGAUGGCUGAGAUAGAGUCCCUUUUGAACAAUAGAGCUCUAAUUGAAGAGGAAACUGCCAGAAAAGCAACGUUCUUUAUAGAAUAUGAAGGUUGUCGAAAGAAUGAAGAGGUGGCCUAUAGACAGAGAUCAAGGGCCCUAUGGCCUAAGGAAGGGGAUAGAAAUACCAAAUUCUUCCACCAAACUGCUAAUGCUCAUAAGAGGUACAACCAUAUUGAUCAAUUGGAAAUUCAGGGAGAGACUAUUUCUGAGCAAAAUAGAAUCAAGGAAGAGAUCAUAUCCUUCUACAAGAAGCUAUAUACAGAACCUGAAGAUUGGAGACCUUCUGAGAAAAUCAACAACCAUCCAACCAUUACAGAAGCUGAAAAGGAAGCCUUGCAAACAGUUUUUGAGGAACAAGAAGUGUUUGAGUGUCUAAAGUUAUGUGCUAUAGACAAAGCGCCUGUUCCUAAUGAUUUGAUGAUUUUACAAUGGGAUUCUAUCUAAAGUGCUGGGAGGUUAUUAAAAAAGACAUUAUGGAGGCUUUUCACAACUUUUACUCAAGUGAAAUUUUUGAAAAAAGUUCCAAUGCAACUUACAUUGCUUUGAUUUCUAAGAAGACAGGAGCUAAGGAACUCAAAGAUUUCAGACCCAUAAGUUUGAUUGGUAGCUUUUACAAGCUAAUAUCUAAGGUGUUAACAAAAAGGUUGAAGAGAGUGGUAGAUAAAUUGGUGGACAAACAACAGAUGGCAUUUAUCCAAGGCAAACAAAUAAUGGAUGCAGUGCUUAUAGCUAAUGAAGAAAUUGACUCUAGAACUGCACAAGGAAGAUCCGGUAUACUAUGCAAACUUGAUAUAGAAAAAGCCUAUGAUCAUGUGAAUUGGGAAUUCAUCCUUAGUAUGCUGAGACAAAUGGGCUUUGCGGAGAAAUAGAUCAACUGGAUCAAGUUUUGCAUAUCUACUGUGAAAUUUUCUAUUCUCAUUAAUGGGUCUCCUGAAGGUUUUUUCAAUGCAAAUAGAGGAAUAAGACAAGGGGAUCCUCUAUCACCUUUUCUCUUCAUCAUAGCAAUGGAAGGACUCAACAACAUGUUGAAUAUUGCUAAGGCAAACGGAAGUAUACACGGUUUUGAAGCUAGCAAUGUAGUUGGUAGAAGCAUAGAGAUCACGCAUUUGCAGUAUGCGGAUGACACCUUAACUUUUUGUGGUGCUAAAGAGGAAUAAUUGUUAAUCCUAAGACUAAUCCUAGUCUAUUUUGAGGCUAUAUCUGGUCUCCACAUUAACUGGAACAAAAGUCACUUAUAUCCAAUUAAUGUGGUUCCUGAUAUGGAGCACCUGUCUUUGAUCCUAGGAGUGGUAGGCACACUACCUUCAAUCUACUUGGGAAUGCCAUUGGGUACAAAGUCUAGAUCCAUACACAUUUGGAAACCAAUUCUGGAAAAAUGUGAAAAAGCUAACUAGAUAGAGAACACAAUACUUAUCAAUGGGAGGGAGAUUGACUUUGAUAAACUCUGUGCUAGAUGCCCUACCUAUAUAUGUUUUCCAUCUUUCAUAUACCUCAAUCAGUUGCUCAGAGGUUGGACAAAAUCAGAAGGAACUUUUUAUGGCAGGGGAACAAGGAAAGAAAAUGUAUUCAUCUAAAUGCUUUCAUCUGGUCAAAUCAAAGAAUAUCAUUAGAAGUAAAAAACAUGGAGGUUUAGGAAUCAAAAUCCUUAAGAUUCGAAGUAAAGCUCUUAAGGUUAAGUGGCUAUGAAGAUACUAGCAGGAGAAUCAAGCUUUGUGGUGUAAAGUCAUCAAGAGUAAGUAUGAGGAGCUCAAUAAAUGGGUAACAAAAGAGGUACACACUCCAUAUGGUGUUAGCCUCUGGAGGUUUAUCGGAGUUUUUUGGCCAUUCUUAAGUAGCCAUUAAACUAUUAAGGUGCAAAAUGGGAGCAAAACUAGCUUCUGGAUUGACAAAUGGAUGGGUCCUGAGAACCUAAAAGAUCUUUUUCCAGAUAUUUUUCCCUUGGCUCAAGACCAACAAAAGACGGUUGCGGAAAUGUGGACAUAACAGGGGUGGGAUCUGAUUUUGAGAAGACAUCUUAACGACUGGGAAAUUCCCAGAAUGAUUGAACUUUAUAAACUUUUGGAGAACUUUCAAGGUUUGAGAAAAGGAGAAGAUUAUUUAUGGUGGCAAGGGUACAGUAAAGGCACAUACAAGGUAAAAGAUGAUCAUCAGAGCCUCAAAUGGUCAUGGAAGCAUAUCUGGAAAACUAAAGUGCAACACAAAGUGGCAUGUUUCACUUGGCUUCUGGCCAAUGAGGCAGUCCUGACCUUGGACAAUGUCUCCAAGAGGGGAAUCUCUUUAUGCAAUAGGUGUUCUUUAUGUGGAAAAGAUGCAGAGACUAUUAGACAUCUUUUCCUGCAUUGUAGAUUCACUAACCAGUUGUGGCAGAUUUUCCUAAAUCUCAAAGGCAUUUCUUGGACUAUGCCUAGCAAGAUUGAUGAUACUCUGUUCAGUUGGGAUGAGGCUAGUUUCGGAGCUAGAGACAGAAGCAGAUGGAGGAUGAUUCCGGCCUGUAUUUGGUGGACUACAUGGAGAGAAAGAAAUGAGAGAUGUUUUGAGAAUAGGAGCAACAACUUACAGGAGGUCAAACUUAAAUGUAUUUUGUUGUUCUAUUUUUGGUGUACAAAUGUCUACUCUAAUGAGACUGAGUCAAUUCUAGAUGUUUUAGGAUCCAUCUAGAGUAGGUUUAGCUUAGGGGAAGUUCAUACUCCCUUUUGUUUGUUUGUAAAUAUGAUUUUCUUCAGUACUACCUAAGUACUGCUUUAAUACAAAUGUUACCAGUUCCAAAAGAAAAAGACUAAUGAUGCUUAGAGGCAAGGCCAAAGAUGACAAUUACCAUGCCAUCCAACAUCUGUUGUGAGAAGCCCAUGGUGAGAACUUAAUAUUUAAGGUCAAACUUUUCCAUGACCACUGACCGGUUCAUUAGAUUGACACAUUCAAUCAUCUAUAUGCAAGAGAAAUACAUAUACAAAGAAACAUUAAGAUGAUGUGGCAAUCCCAGGAUCGGAAAGCAUUCACAAAUAACUAGGGAGUUGGAUGAUAUACAUACACAACAACAACAACAACAUACCUAGUAUAUUCCCACCAAGUGGGGAUUAGAUGAUAUAUACAUGUAUAUAUAUAACGAGGUUUUACAUUUAGCUGUAACUAUGCACUUUAAGCAGGUAUGUCACUAUCACAGUGCAAGACCAUGGCACAUAUUGUUUGCCUUGGCCCAACAGACCUCACAAAAUUGUCCCUUGGGCUACGUCAUCAUUGAAUCCCAAAGCGUGGGUACCAUGACAACUUGUGCUGUGUUUUGUAUAGCAUUUUCCCUCUUUUCAGAUGUGGGAUUUGCCUAAGGUGUAAUGUGUAACUCUACCUCAUAAGCUUGUCAUACUAGAUGUCUACCCCUUCUUCCUGACAUGCUCUCAUCAGUCCGCCCUAUGUCAAGGGGCUCACAUACACCCCCUUUUAGGGACUAAAUUUUCUCACUGAGGUUUGUCCGAGAAUCUUACUAUGAGGAUCAGACUCUGAUACUUAAUUUGUCACAAUCCAAAUCCCUGGCAUAUACUGUCAUCUUUGGCCCAACAAACAUCAUGGAUUUGUCCCAUGAGCUCGCGGGCAUCAAGCCAAGAAACACACAUACCAUGUGAAGUGAUCCAUAUUAUGUAGCAGUUCGCUUUUCUCUCCCUUUUUUGAUUUGAGAUUGCCUAAGGUGUCAUGUGUAACCCUUUUCCCAAAAACUUGCCAUUCAUUCCUAUUGACCCAUCCUCAUUAGCCUACCUUCCAUCAGGACUGUCACAAUAGCAUGAAUUCAGCUGAUGUUAUGUUUCUGAUAAGGGUAAUGUACAGUUACUUGCUUUCAAUUCAAUUUAUUUUAUUUUAGUUGGUUAAAUUUUUUGUACAGUUUGGAGAAUCCAUGUGAGGUACUCGUACCUAUUUCAUAACCACUCAACAUUGAUAAGUCAAAGCAAACAAAGGAUCCAUGUAACAUAGCUAAAUGCUACCUAGGAAAAUUUCAAGAACAAUUAACCAUGCAUCAAUAAGCUGCUUAGUUGCCGGACUAUCUACCAAACAUGUGAUCCUCCCGAGAAGGGUGAGAAUCAAGAAAUGAUGGUGAAUUACCUCUCCAUAUCCAGUACUACCAUCUUCAAGAUACAAACUUAUAACGAAGCCUUCUCGGUGGUAGGUGGAUAUAUGACAGGCAGAAGUUGAAGUAGGAGGAGAGGACAGCUGAAUUCUACCAUAAAAAGUAUAAAAAGUCAUGUCAACUUUUCAGAACCCCAGACAGAAAUGUGUGCAGUAUAUAUAUGCUAACCUAUAUUUUGAGUACUGCAUUUUACCAACUUUGCUGGGUAUCAACCCAUCAUUCGUGGAAUUCAAAACAGUUAGUUUUGAAAGGCUGUUGAUAGCAUGAUCCAAUCCUUGCUGUGAAACUUUUCUCAGCAUACUGAAAGAGGAAAAUAUCUUAGUUGAGAAUGUUCUCAUUAGUCAAUUUAGUAAGACAUUGGAUUUUAACAUGACUACCUAUGAAAGGCAGCGUUGGCAUCAAUGGUGCUAUCAACCUCUAUAACAAAAUCUUCCUUGUCCAUUUGUGAUGCUAACAGAGCAUCUUGAAGCUCCAUUUUGCUCUGUACUUUCAAAUGCUUCACACUGCAAACAAAGUAUAACAAAUUUAACAAGGCACCAAGUUUGGCUAAUAUGGGCUGUGAAAAGGUAAUAUCAACUUAACACCAAUAUCUGUAUCAAACUAUUUGAAGGAACUUGUCUCAAUUUAAUAAAACUAAUUUCUUACUAAAGAAAUAAGUUCUAGAAGAAUGCAAUGCAACUUUGUAAGAUAAAACAUACAUAAUUAUGGUGCGAGAGACAAGCCAUUACAGUGGGAUAAUAUAAUCUGGCAACCUAACAUUCUAACCAACCCUCACAUUACUAUUCUUUUCUAUUUUCGACAACCAUUAUAGUGUUACAAGUUUUAUUUCAUCUGAACAUUCUGGCCGCAUCAAACCUUUUUUUAAUGACUGUUCUAGCUGCACCACUUUUCUUUCUAGCCAUCAUUUUGGCAAACCAGAGCCUCUUUUCUAUGAUUGCUCUAAAUGGCUAGACAUCUCUUCUUGAUGACCAUUCUAGAAGCAUCACACCUCUUUCCGGGCAACUGUUCUGGCAGCACAUUGCCCCUUUUUUCAGUGACAAUUUUGAUACCUCUUUCAGCCAUUCUCAGGAAGCCUGCCACUAUAACUUUUUCAUCUAUAUUCGGUGACCAUUACCUUUUUCAUAUGUUUUUCAAACAACCUUUCCAUCAACCACCUGAUUUAUAUUUUUCAAAAAUAAGUAAAUCCAAGUCGGAUUUGGCACCUUGAGUUUUAGAAGGCAUGUCAGUAUGUUGUGUUAGUCUUGUAAUUUUAGCGUAAGAAUACUCGAAGAGUUAAGUACUUAAGUUGGAUACCGUCUCACAUUGGACAAAAUUACAUGUUGUAUUAUGUUUGACACCUGUAGCUGUCUAGUAUUCAUCAAACGUCUUCAUUCAAUCUCUAAUUAACUCACAAUAAGAGAAACAAAAGUUGGGUCAAGCAGGCCCCUGCCGAUAGGCAAAAGCUACUAAGUCUAUACUAAAACUAUGAACUCUGAAACAAGACGUGAUAUAUUCAUCUUUAAAGAUGUAACAUACUUGGGUCAAAACCAGAAAAUUCAUGCAUCCAUCUUUAAAGGUGCAAUAUACAUAUUAUAUUGACAUUUUAACAAAACAACAUACAAGAAGCAUAUUACUUUCACUGCAAAAUGCUUGUCCUUUAUGGCUUUUAAACAGCUUGAUGACGGAUGGAUAUAGGGGAAUGAGAAAAUGAAACUAAGGGAAUGAGAAAAUGAAACUAACUGUAAUCUACAAGGAAAGAAGUUCGCCAUCGAAGGGUGUUUGUACAAGUGAACUACUGGCUAAAAGGUGAACUUCAUAAUAAGGUUGCUGCUAGCGUAGGAAGUCCUAUAAUCUCUAUGAAGAGAUAUUCAAAUAUAUAUCUUGAGUCCUUGUAAGUACGUAAAGAACUAAAUAUCAUAAAGGGGGGAGAUAUCCUGAUGCAACCCUGAAUCCAAUGCUAAGAAGCUGCGAACCUGCUUGCUUCAAUAAAACUCCCUUACACCCUAAGACACGUGUUCAGGGAAAUCAAGUUGAAGGGGAGCAAUAGGUUCUUCAUUACACUUGAGAAGGACCUGUAAUAGAUGUUUCAAGAGCAACUGAUAAUGAGGAAAAAAGAAAAGAAUAAGAGAUCUAAUGGAGUAACUGACAGAAGAAAAAAAUGUAGAUAUAUUGGUUCUCUAGAAGUUAAAAAUGAAGAUCCCAGAACCCAAGUAGGAGACAAAGCAAGCAGUUUGAGUGAACCACAGAAAUGUGUGUUCUUCAAGAAAUUUGAGUCAUGCAUAUGCCAUGCUCAAUAACGAAGCACUGGAAGGCCACAAGUCCAAAAUGGAACAACAUACAUCAUGAAAGAGUAGCAACCAAAGAAGACAAUGAGGAGAAUAGAUUAUUGUACAUGGAGACAUCUCAAGGGUGUUUGUACAAGUUGUCCAUGAUACUCUUGUAAUGGCCCAUCGCGCUAAUGAUAUUGUCCGUUCUGGAUAUAGACAUGCCCAGCUUUAAAACGUGUGGAUAAGGAGUAAGGCUUGCUUACCUAUAUACCCAAUAUCUCUCUUAUGUUUUGUCGAUGUGCGACACCUCCCUCGGCUAGGGUGUCACAUACGGCUUAGCCCGCUAAUGAUAUUGUCCACUAUGUGUUUAGGCCCACACAGCUUUAAAACGUGCCACUAGGGUGUAAGGCCUGCUUAAUAGUAUACCCAAUAUCUCUCAUGUCUUUUGUUGAUGUGGGACUCUUCCCAAAGCUAGAGCGUCACAUACACCCCCUCUUAUGGACUCAGCAUCCUCGCUGAAAUUUGCCCCACCACAUGGGAUUUGCCUAAACUCAGUACUGAGGUUUACCCCGUCUUCCCAGGAUUUGCCUUAACUCAGUAAAACUCCGGCCCACCAUCGACAAGGUUGAUAAAAGAGUGACUCUGAUGCCAUUCAUGAUGGCCUAGCACACUAAUAGUAUUGUUCGCUUUGGGCCUAGGUCCACACGGCAUUAAAAUGUGUCACUAGGGUGCAAGACAUGCUUACUUAUAGAUCCAAUAUCUCGCGUGUUUUGUCAAUGUGAGACAUCUUCCUUGAGCUAGGGUGUCACAACUUUGGUGCCUAGUUUGAUAUUGUCCACCGUUGAGUCCCAAAUCAGAGUAGGAAGUGCAAUUUAGUCUCUUUAUAUGGUCUUGGGCAAUCCUCAAAGCUCAUUUGGAGUUGAGUUAGGGCCAAGGUCCAUUUUCUUACCAGUUACCACAGAGGAAUAUCUUAUCAGGAAUAAGAAGAUAAGAAGGUCAAUGUUGGGAGAGGCAGCAAAAAAUCAAGAUGCAACUUUAGAGCUGAAAACUGGAAGUGAAAUUGUGACAUUAAUACAAAAUUAAAAUCAUAUAUUAUCAGCAAUGUAUACCUAACGCAAACCAAAAAAAAAAUGUUGCCACUUCCAUUAAACAUCAAACGUUUCUUACCCAUGUGCCAUGCAUAGGUUGUGAAUUGAAACAUUAUGAGAUGUGUAGAAAUACUGGUCUAAAAUGCUUCUUGCAGUCAUAUUCAUAAGAGGAAGAAGACUGAAUAUGGCGCCACCACGGUUGUUAAUAACAACUAUAGUCAUGGGCUUCCGCAACAUCCUUCAAACAUAAAAGAAAUCUAUGUCAUUUGGUGAGUAUAACUCUUCAUGAAAUUUUCCAUACGUGAAGCACAAAGAUCUUUAACAUAAUAAUAUAUCAUCUAAAUCAUAUGUUAUGUUGGAAGUCAAAAUCAUAACAUUUGUUUACCACAUGAAAAAUUCAAGCAUGAUACAUAGGAUCUGAACUAGGAACCAAAACUAUCGACUACCUAGCAUAACGAGCAAUGGAUAAAAAGCAUAACAGUAUUUAAGGAGCAUGCAUAAUCAGUAGGAACUUGGGAUAAAAGACUUCCAUUCUAUCAAAAACAAGAAGUCCAGUAAAGAUAUUGAAGAAACCAAUCAUUUUGAAUUGAACUUUGGAACACAAAUACAAGGCAGAAGAGCAAAAACAUGAAAAAGGAAAUUCUGAAGCAUCAAUUAACACAAAAGAAAGAGCAAAUUGAAAAAGUAGCAACAAAGUGGGCGGAGAGGGGAGGCGGUGUUGCUUGCUGACAUGUUUUACCCUAAAACCGAAAGGCAAAUAUAAAAAGCAAAUAAGGAUAAUUAAAAAGAAAACUAAGAACAGUAAUUUCAUACCAUAACUUCAUUUGCGAAUUCGAGUUUUCCGAAGGAGGAACACCAUAUUACGUUUCGUAGUUAGCGGCCAAGACUCAGAUAGACUUUAUGCUCCUUAGGAAGGGUGAUAGAGCGCUAUGUAAAGACUGUAAAUUCAUACCUAGCGAGAAUCUUUUGACUCAACAUAGGUUAUUGAUGCUGGACUUGGUAAUCAAUAAGGCCAGAAAGAAGAGGAGUGUGGAGGCACGGCCCAGGAUUAAGUGGGGUAGCUUGCCUUUGGCUAGUGCUUUGGAGAUGGGGGAGAAGUUGAAGAGUAGAGGGGCUUAAAGAGUAGAGGGGAUGUGGAUAGUAUGUGGGAGACGACUGCUAGUUGCAUUAGGGAGAUCGUUAGAGAGGUGUUAGGUGUCUCGAGAGGUUGAUCUGGCAAGCAUCGAGGGGACUGGUGAUGGAACGAAGAGGUUAAGAGGAAAGUGGAGUCUAAGAAGGUGGCUUAUGCUAAGUUGGUUGAGAGCAACGAUGAUGAUGAAAGGGAGACGAACAAGGAGGAGUAUAAGGUAGCUAUAAGAGAGGCUAAGUUAGCGGUUACACCGGCUAAGACAGCAGUUUUUGAGAGCUUGUAUACAGCUUUAGAGGAGAAAGGCGGGGAUAAGAAAUUGUAUAGGCUUGCCAAGGCUGGGAGCGGAGGGCCCGUGACCUUGACCAAGUGAAGUACAUCAAGGGAGAGGAUGGUACAGUGUUGGUUGAGGAUGUCCUCAUUAGGAAGAGGUGGCAGUCCUAUUUUCAUAAACUUUUGAACGAGGGGAACAAAGGUUUCAUGUUGGGGGACUUGGAGAAAUCUGAGGAGUGUCGCAAUUAUGGUUAUUGUAGGUGUAUCAAGGUUAAGGAGGUUAGAAGGGCUAUUUGCAGGAUGCGACGGGAUAGGGCGACGAGGCCAGACAAGAUUCCAGUGGAUUUUUGAGUGGCUGACAAGGUUGUUUAACAUCAUUUUUACGACGGCGAAGAUGCCUAAAGCGUGGAGGUGGAGUACGAUGAUUCCAUUAUAUAAGAACAAGGGAGACAUCCAAAGUUGCAACAACUAUAGAGGUAUUAAGUUGUUGAGACAUACCAUGAAGGUUUGGGAAAGGGUGGUAGAGUUGAGGUUGUGAAGGAUCAUGACUAUCUCAGAGAAUCAGUUCGAUUUCAUGUCAGGUCGCUCGACUACUGAGGUCAUCCACUUUAUGAGGAGAUUAGUGGAGCAGAUUCAGGAAAGGAAGAAGGACUUGCACAUGGUAUUUAUUGAUCUUGAGAAGGCUUAUGCCAGAGUUCCCAGGGAGAUUCUGUGGAGGUGCUUGGAGGCUAGAGGGGUACCCGUGGCGUACACUAGGUUGAUUCAGGACAUGUAUGAUGGCGCGAAGACUCGUGUGAGGACGAUGGUGGAGAUUCGGAGCACUUUCUGAUUUUGAUAGAGUUGCACCAGGGAUCGACUCUUAGCCCUUUUUUAUUUGCCUUGGUGAUGGAUGUUUUGACGCGAUAUAUUCAAGGAGAGGUGCCUUGGUGUAUAUUAUUUACUGAUGAUGUGGUACUGAUUGACGAGACUCAGGGAGGAACUAAUAAUAAGUUAGAGAUUUGGAGACAGACCCUCGAGUCUAAAGGAUUUCGGUUGAGCAAGACCAAGACGGAGUACUUGAAAUGUGAGUUUAGUGAUGUGUCGCAAGAGGCUGGCGUGGUUGUGAAGCUGAACUCUCCGAUCAUUCAGAAGAGGGAGAGUUUCAAGUAUCUGGGGUCUAUGAUUCAGGGCAAUAGUGAGACUGACGAGGAUGUCACGCAUUGUAUUGGGGCAGGGUGGUUGAAAUGGAGGCUGGAGUUUUAUGUGAUAAAAAGGUGCCCCCAAAGCUUAAGGAAAGUUCUACAGAGUGAUAGUCUGACAGGCUAUGUUGUAUAGAGCGGAGUGUUGCCAGUUAAGAACUCCCACAUCCAAAAGUUGAAGGUGGCGGAGAUGAGGAUGUUGCGAUGGAUGUAUGGUCAUAUCAGGAAAGAUAGGGUGAGGAAUGAAAUUAUUCGGGAGAAGGAGGGAGUGGCUUCGGUGGGGGACAAAAUGUGACAAAUGAGGUUACGUUGGUUUGGGCACGUGAUAAGGAGGGGCUCUGAUGCUCCAAUGCGGAGGUGUGAGACACUGGCUAUGGAUGAUUUUAGGCGGGGUAAAGGUAGGCCGACGAAAUAUUGGAGGGAAGUGAUUAGGCAUGAUAUGGAGCAGUUACAGCUUACGGAGGACAUGACCCUUGAUAGAAAGGUGUGGAGGACGCGGAUUAAGGUAGAGGGUUAAGGGGUGGGAGUGCGUUGGUAACAGUAGGGGAGCGUUCUUUAUUUGUGUCUGAAGUUUCUUGUUCGUGGUGUUUAGUGAUGUCUAUGAUUUCGGAUAGAUAUUUUUUAGUAUUAUCUUGUGGCUGUAGUAUUAUCUUGUGGCUAGAGGUGUUAGUUUAUUUUGCAUACUGUACUAGUUUAUAUGCAUUUAUGUUUUAUGUUUGCUAUACUGUUAUCAGUCCUAAGCUGGGGGUUUAUCGGAAACAGCCUCUCUACUUCACCUGAGGUAGUGGUAUGGUCUGCGUACACACUAUUCUUCCCAAACUCCACUAUGUGGGAAUACAUUGGGUAUGUUGUUGUUGAAACUUCAUUUGCCGAUGAUAAUACAUGUCACUAAUUGGACCAGCACUAAAGCAGCAUUGAAGGAUGUUAAACAAAAUGGAAAGAGAAAAGAAAAAUAACACUACUCACUGCUUGCUCAAAAGGGCCAACCCAUUUGUGUCAUGCAGAAAAGAAACGUCUCCAACUACACAAAGUACCUAAAACGAAGCACAAUGUUAAAUUCCACUAAAUCAUCUGUGCAUAAUGCAAUUACAGAAGAAAAAACUCCAGAACAGAAGUGAACCACAGAAAAAGGAAAAUGAUACUUCAUUGCUAAUAAUUUUGAAGGUCGAACAUUUUACAUGGACUGGACUCUAGAACUAAUUGAACUGAGUGAUAAUCUAAUUGCUAAGAAGUGUACAAGUUUAAGAAACUAAAUGAGGUUUUGCGCAGCCUUAAAAACUAUAUGAGGAAUCUUUGCCAGCCAUAGUGGAGUGUGAUAUUAAUACUUCAUACCACUUUUCAAUGGUGCCAGCCGAUUCUAUAUCUUACAUCACACCUUAGCCAGUGAGGGAAAAUAUUUGCUCCAAGAUUGUUCUUGACACAAAAGGCUAUGGAAUAAACCAGCCUAAGAAUUGUAGAGAGAAGCAGUUACAAGAAAGUAAACAAAGGUCAACUUCAGUGAUCACAUACAAUGAAAAAAAAAAAGAAAAGGCCAACACAAUGGCAGUUCUUAUUACACUACAUUCUCGGUAAGAGGAACGUGAUUCUGUAAUUAGAUUCCUAUGAACGCAGUGAUUAUUAACCAAAUAUUGUUUUUAGAUCAAAGUUUAAUCCACUCACUCGUUUGUUGCAUCCAACUGCAAAACCAGCAGCUGUGCUAAGCAAACCAUCAAUACCACUAGCUCCUCUAUUAGCAGCGACCUGAAUAAAGUGGCAAGGUAAUUCUGAGCUGAAUACGGCUGCAUCCCUGGUACGCUCUACCCAGUUACCGUUACAUGCGUACAUGUCUGCAUCACGUAUUGGCAUGCUGUUACCCAAAAAUACAGCAGACUCGCAGUGAAUAGCUUCCAGAGUCAUUUGUGCAACACAAGGCUCAGUCAAGGAGUACUCAGAAUUGAUUAGAAAUGAGAUGUCCCAUGCAGCCUACAUAACAGGAAUGAAGGUGAAUAAAAUAAAUAAGAUUGUGGCAAGGAAUAGUUAUGAGAAUAGGAUGAACAAUACACAACAACAACAACAACAACAACAACAACAUACCCAGUAAAAUCACACAAGCAGAUACACACAAGCCAUUAAUUACUAGCUGACUUAACAAGAAACAAACAUUACUAGCUGACUUAACAAGAAACAAACAUGUACUUGCUCUCCCUCAAGAAGCUUUCAAAACUAACCACUUCAUAAUUGAGGAUUCAUUUUAUGACAGUGAUGUCCAGUCCAGUUUGCACACUCCUUGACUAUUACACCAAUACCUGCCAUCUCCCACCAGUUUAGGCAAAUGGGAAAAAAAUCACCUAGUGGCAUUGACCAUAGACCAUGUUAAGUAUCCCACAUCGAAAAAGGGAUGGGUAAUUGGUCACCUUAUAUGGACUUGGGCAAUCCUCCCCUCAUGAGCUAGCUUUUGAGGUUGAGUUAGGCCGAAGAUCCAUUCUUUAUCAUGGUAUCAGAGUCAAGCCCAUUCCAAAUCUUUGUUCACCCAUGUUGGGCCCCAUAUUAUAUUUUCCACGCUCCAGUUAACGAGGUCUGGCCGUGCGGGGGAGUGUUUAGUAUCCCACAUCGAAAAAGGGAAGGGCAAUUGGUCUCCUUAUAUGGACUUGGACAAUCCUCCCCUCAUGAAAUAGCUUUUGAGGUUGAGUUAGGCCGAAGAUCCAUUCUUUAUCAGACCAUACCCUUUUUUAUAACUGUGGUGUCCGGGCCAACUUGUGAGCAGCUCGACUAAUUCUAUGGGAUAACUGCUACCUCUCACUGGCAAUAGAUACCAAGAUACUCUGUCCACCAAGAAUUGGACUAAUGGGAAAAAUCACCUAGUGUUUUUUGUCUCCAACGGGAUUUGAACAGGAGACCUCAUGGUUCUCUUCCCACUUCAUUCACCACCAGGCAACAACCUUGGGUGCCACUAGAGGAUACCCUUGGGUGCAUCGAAAUUGAGAAUUUUAUGCGGCAAGCCUCAUAUUAUCGCAUUCUAAUAAAAUUCCAGGCAGACACUUAGUAGGAGGAAGUGUUCAGUUAAACUCCUCAGUCUUAACUAAGUUGCUCAUAGCUUUGUUCGAUGCUUUGCAAUUCCAUGCAGGCAAUAUCUGGAAAAUGUGUGGAAAAUAAGAUGCACUACAAACACUGGUAAUAGAUUUAGAGGUACAUAUCUAUAGAGAUAUAUACAUACUUGAUAUCACACACGCUUGCAGACAGAGCAUACACUUGAGAGAGAGAGAGAGAGAGAGAGAGAGAGAGAUCCUUUUCUAUCUUUUACUUGUACUUGGAGGAAGAGGCAGAGUAGAAGUUCAAGGAAAUAUGUCACAGGAAAAAUAGACAUUAUAUUAUACGCAGAUUCAUGAUUUGCAGUAUGGAAGAUGACACAAGGUCAAUUAAAUUACAUACCACAUUGUUCAAUGCUUGUAAAAAACAUUCCCAUUUUCUCCUAGCAUGUGGCGUACAAGUUGUGAUCAAAUAAUCUGCAAAUUGAGGAAUCGCACACUGGAUUCUAUGUGUCACAAUAUGUAAAGGAUCAUGACGACUUGGAUGACUGUCAACCAUUAUAUAUGAACAUGGAAAGCAGCUCUCUAGCAGUUGAGCCACACGCUUGCUUGUUAUGCGACUUCCAAUCUGUUAUAUAUACCAACUGAAUGAAGUACCUUGUUUGGCCAUAAUUGACUAAAUACAUGUAACAUGAAGCAUAAUUUCAUAUACAUAUAAUUUAACAGAAUAUAUUGCGCCUACUCAUUGAAAUCCAACUUUAGCAAUACUAAUUUCAUCUCUGGGACAUAAUACAACCAAAAUUAAGUUUCCUACAAAAAAACACAGAAUCACUCAUGAACAAAGGGGAGGUUUUCAAGCAAUGCAGGAAAGUUAUCUGCAAAUCAACUACACCACAGCAAAUGCUCAUAUAUUCACUUAAGAAAGUCAGGGGAGCAUGGCAGGAGGUGGGUUUGGAGAAACAGGCCCAAGCCCACAAAAGUUAGCAUAGUCACAAAUCAUGUUAUAACUUAUAUCCAUUCCGCUUUCUGUGAGCACAUUUCAUUACCAAAACAGUAUAUAAUAUGUCUUAAGGAGUCAAGAACCAAUGACGGAAACAAGUUCAUCCCAAACAUAGUGCAUGGAGCUAGAUCAGAGAAACCUACUUAAGCACAUACCUGGAUUAUCACGUCUGCCUUCAUCCAACCCUUGAUGGAGUCUGAAAGCAGCAUAUGAUCUAGAUGAUCGAUAAAAAGAAUUGUAUCUUCAAAUUCAGGAAAAGGAACAAAAUAUUUUCUCAAUCGGAGACCUGACAGAAUGUCAACUACAACAGGCCAUGAAAGGUGUUUAGCAAGGAGAAGAGCAGCCCAUAUGUCAUCCUCCCGGUGUAUAGCACCAAGCAAUAAAAGGCCUCUAUUUGACUUUUUUAUCACUUCCAGAGCGUCAUCCGUAAAGGUAUUGUAAUUGCAUCUAUAAGAAUGUUGAACUUGGAUAUAGCUGGUAAAAGGUACACUGGUUGACAUCCAAGAGUCUAACCCUCUUAAACAAAUAGGGUUCCACGUUCUUGGACUAUUUUCCAAUGGUUCUCGAAAAGGGCAGUUGAUAUGAACUGGACCACAUGGUGAAGAAGUUGCAAUAUGAACAGCAGAGUCGAUGGAGGUAAGCACCAUUCUUGCAGAAAUAUCACCACUGGGCACAGGAAGACUGAAGAAGUGCCUCACAAAUGGACCGAAAUGAUUGACCUGAUUGAUGGCUUGGUUUGCUCCAACAUCUUGCAGCUCUGGAGGUCGAUCUGCUGUAAGUAACAGCAGCGGAACAAAUUCUUGGCUGGCUUCCACGACCUAUGCAUAUCCAUUGAACAGCUUUAAAAUGACUCGAAGCAACAUUGCAACUAAAUAGAGUACUACCUUCAAGAAGGGCAAGCAAUCUCUAAAGAGCAUUGGACUUUUUCCUCAAAUAUAAGUUGAUUCUUUAAAGAGGAACGUAAAAUGAUGCAUAACUAGGACACUUAACUUUCUCAGGCUGUUUUAUAUAAGCUACUUGUUGAAUAUAGCUGUCAUCAAUUAAAAUUUGAAUCAACAUAUGAACAACGAGGAAACAAAAUAGUAUUGAAAACUGCUGAAAUGAAUAUGAAUAUUAAGUCUUAGUACUCACAGCAGGAUGAAGAUUUGAAACUGCUGUGCCUGAUGACGUGAUGACAACAGCAGGUUUAUAGGAACUUUUGGCGUAACCAACGGCAUGAAAUGCAAGUGAGCGUUCAUCGAUGCAUGCAAUACAACUUGUCGUAGGAUGAGUAGAAGCAGCAAUAGCAAGAGGAGAUGACCGUGAUCCUGGAGCUAUACAAAAAUACUACAUGUGGAAGAAUCAGAUACUUGUAGUCCAAUUAAAUAAAAUUUAUGAAGUUACAGAUAGUCUCACCGUCAGACCAAGUCGAGUGCAUUCCUCAAUUAUCAGCGAUGCCCACAAGAUAUUGAUGUUUGCACAAUCUUUCAAGCGGCAAAUAAAUUGUGUGUAAUCAUUCUGUCCAUGCUGAAAAACAGUAACGGCCCAAAAUAGUAUCUCGAAGGUUUUCAGAUGAACAUAACAUCAAAAAGACCAACUAGACAUAAAGCAUCAACUUCUAGAGAAGGAAGACCCCACCAAUAGAGGUUGCAUAUAAUUUUACUAGUCAUGAAUUCACCCAAUUACAUGGAUACAGACAGAAAUGUCACCUAUCAAAAGGGUCCAUAUUGUUCAUAGUGCACACAAACAUAUUUUGAAAUGGAAAACGUAACAUUAAAAUCAACAACAACAUUAUACCCAUUGUAUUCCCACAAAGUGGGGAAACAUAACAUUAAAAUCAGGUCCAUGAAAAGUAUCGCCAAAGCAAACAUUUAGAAUAAUUGUGACAACUCUCAUGAUGCUGAAAAAAGCAGAAAACUUAACCAAAUAUCAGAAAAGCUCCGUCAACAUUAGCUUUAAAGGAACAAUAUAGAAAUAAAGGAGAGACUCACAAACUAAUGACUGACAACUGAAAAAUAGGUCCUUUAGAGGUUUUAAUUGUAAUAGUGUAUCAGUCCUGAGCAUUCCGAUGAAUCAAAGACUACCUCAAUUGACGGAUGAGAGCGGCCUUCAAAUGAAAGGGGAAUACAGAAGUAACCAAAUGGACUAGAAGAACGACACAAGGAAAAUGGCAAAAUCAUCUCCGUUUCGAACUUGAAAAUCACAAAACAUAAAAGAUGGAAGAUACAAAAGAAGCUUUCUAUAUGAAAAAUUAUUUGGGUCACUACAAGAUAGAGAAAUUUUGAAUCAACAUAUUUUAUUUUAUUUUUUUGAAAAAAUAUGUAUGGAAUCUUUGAAUCAACGGAUUUCAGUAAUCAACAACAACAACAACAACAAACUCAGUGUAUUCCCACCUAGUGGGGUCUGGGGGGGUAAGAUGUACGCAGUCCAUACCUCUACCUCUAAAGAAGUAGAAAGGCUGUUUCCGAUAGACCCCCGGCUCAAGGCACGAGAUACCACACAAACACAUAGUAAAGCACAGAAGCAGAUUACAUAACAUAAAUACGGCACCCAUAAGUAAUAUAAAACAGAGGAAAGCAGAGGAAAGCACACAGAUUCGUGAUAAAACAUGGAACACGGAACACGGAAUCAUAACAGGAAUAAAACCCCCACCAAGUAAUCCCUACACUAGCGACCCAAACUGGCCCUAAUCCUCUGCCGAAAUUCGCGCCCUCCAGACCUUCUUAUCUAGGGUCAUGUCCUCGGUGAGCUGUAACUGUUCCAUGUCCCGCCUAAUCACCUCACCCCAGUACUUCUUCGGCCUACCCCUACCCCGCCUAAAACCAUCCAACGCUAGCCUCUCACACCUACGGACCGGGGCAUCCAUGCCCCUCCUCUUCACGUGUCCGAACCAUCUCAAUCGUGCUUCCCGCAUCUUACACGCCACUGAAGUCACACCAACCUUCUCCCGGAUAGUCUCAUUCCGAACUCUAUCCCCUCUAGUCAGCCCACACAUCCAGCGCAAUAUCCGCAUUUCUGCCACCUUCAUUCUUUGGAUGUUAACUGGCCAACACUCCGCUCCAUACAGCAAGGCCGGACGGACUACCACCCUAUAGAAUUUGCCUUUAAGCUUGGGCGGCACCUUCUUAUCACACAGCACCCCCGACGCGAGUUUCCACUUCAUCCAUCCCGCCCCAAUACGGUGCGAGACAUCCUCGUCAAUCUCACCGUUACUCUGGAUCACGGACCCGAGAUACUUGAACUUAUCCCUCUUACAUACCUCCUGUGCUUCCAGCUUCACUACUACCUCGUUCUCCCGCCUCACGUCAUUAAACUUACAUUCCACAUACUCUGUCUUGCUUCUGCUCACCCUGAACCCUUUAGACUCAAGAGUUUGCCUCCACAUCUCUAAUUUGUCAUUUACACCCCCUCGAGUCUCAUCUAUCAGAACUACAUCGUCUGCAAAGAGCAUACACCACGGCACCUCCCCUUGAAUACGCCGCGUCAACACAUCCAUUACUAACGCAAACAAAAAGGGACUAAGAGUAGAUCCCUGAUGCAAUCCUGUCCGGACAGUGAAAUGCUCUGAGUCUCCUCCCGCCGUCCUCACCUGGGUUUUCGCUCCCUCAUACAUAUCCUUAAUUACUCUGAUAUAUGCCUGCGGUACUCCCCUCACCUCCAAGCAUCUCCAAAGCACCUCCCUGGGGACUUUGUCGUAAGCCUUUUCCAGGUCGAUAAACACCAUGUGCAGGUCCUUCUUCCUUUCCCUAUACUGUUCCACCAACCUCCGUACCAGGUGGAUUGCCUCCGUCGUCAAGCGGCCAGGCAUAAAUCCAAACUGGGUUUCCGAAAUAGACACUAUCCGUCUCAGCCUCACCUCGACCACUCUCUCCCAGAUCUUCAUAGAGUGACUCAAUAACUUAAUCCCCUAUAGUUAUUGCAACUCUGAAUGUCCCCCUUAUUCUUAUAGAGAGGGAUCAUGGUACUCUACCUCCAAGCCUCGGGCAUCUUUGCCGUCCUGAAGAUUUCAUUAAACAAUCCAGUCAACCACCUUACACCAGCCUCUCCAACGAACUUCCAAAACUCCACCGGUAUCUCAUCCGGCCCCGUCGCCCUACCCCUUCGCAUCCUGCGAACGGCCUGUCUAACCUCUUCUACCUUAAAACGUCUACAAUAGCUAAAAUCCCGACACUCCUCUGAGUGCUCCAGUUCAAAUAUGUUCAAUGGGUUCAAAUAUGGGAUCUUUGUUCAUGUCAAAU